AUGCCCUGGGAAAGUGUAGAUCUCUAAAAAGACUUUCAUUGUCUAUUAAUAGGCUACAGGGAGCCAUACCAAAUUCUAUUGCAAACCUGUCCAGCACUCUUACAUAUCUGCUAAUGUCUGAAAACAGUCUAUCAGGAACAGUUCCCCCACGUAUUGGAAAAUUUAGUUCCUUAAUUCAACUAUCACUAGAUCAAAACAAUCUUACCGGUACAAUUGAAGAAUGGGUCGGAAAUAUGACAAAACUAGAACGUUUGAAUCUCCAAUCAAACAGCUUUGUCGGGAUAAUUCCACCUUCCAUUGGCCAACUUAUACGGUUGAAAUAUUUAUUUCUUGAUGAAAAUCAAUUCACUGGGUUUAUACCACCUAGCUUUGGAAACCUUAAAUCAUUGUUGCAGCUGCACCUUAGCUACAACAAUUUCAAAGGGGGCGUACCAUAGAGUUUUUGGAAAUCUUAUGAAUCUCAUACAUUUGGACCUUAGUAAUAACAAUCUACAAGGUGGGAUACCCUAGGAGAUUGGUAACCAAAAACAACUUGACAUCCUCCUCCUGUCAUCAAAUAAACGAACUGGAGAAUUUCCAGCUACUUUAGGCCAAUAUCCAGUCUUCACUAACCAUCAAAUGGACCUUGCAUGGAAACACUAAAUCAUUCCCAUAACAACUUGUCAGGUCACAACCCUUUGGCUCUAAGUGAUCUACAGUUUCUUAGUGUGCUAGACCUUUCAUAUAAUCAUCUCGAAGAAGUACCAAGAAAGGGAGUAUUUGAAAAUGCUAUAGCUGUUUAUCUUGACAGCAAUUGUGGACUUUGUGGAGGAGCAAAGGAUCUCCAUAUGCCUUUGUGCCAUAUUGAUUCACCAAGAACAGAGAAUCGGUACUAUUUGGUCAAAGCAUUGAUACCACUGUUUUCCUUCAUGUCAACCCUACUGUUGAUUUACUUCAGAAGAAGGGAUCAAGAAGGGCAUAUUUAUGGCUGCCAACCUUUGGGAAAAAAAUUCCCUAAUGUUUCUUACAGGAGUCUAGCUCAGGACACAGGGAACUUCUCUGAGUCUAACUUGAUUGGAUAUGGAGGCUGCAGUUUAGUCUAUAAAGGGAGGUUAGUCCAAGUUAAAAUGGAGGUGGCUAUCAAGAUUCUUGACACUGAAGAGCAAGAUGCGGAGAAAAGCUUUCUAGUAGAGUGUGAACUUCGGAGAAGUAUUCGCCACCGAAAUAUUCUACCUCUCAUAACCACAUGCUCCACAAUUGACAAUAAAGGCAAUACCUUCAAAGCUCUAAUUUAUGAAUUUAUGCCUAAUGGAAACAUGGACACUUGGCUGCAUUAUCAAGGGGACGGCAGAACUCCAGAAUGUUUAGGCUUAUCUCAAAGAAUAAAUACAGCUAUUAACAUAGCCGAUGCAUUGGCCUACUUACACAAUGACACUGGAAGGCCCAUUGUCCAUUGUGAUUUAAAGCCUAGUAAUAUCCUGCUAGAUGUUCAUAUGAAUGCUUACUUGGGUGAUUUUGGCGUCGCAAGGUUACAUAUUGAUUCUAAGUUGAGAUCAGUUGGCGAUUCAAGCUCAGCCUGUUCAACGAGUGCAAAAGGAACUAUAGGGUAUAUGGCUCUAGGUAGAACUUUAUCCUUCUAGGAUUUUUACAAAUUAUAUUAACAUGAACCAUAUUUUGCAAGUUGUUAUGCACUGAUUAUCACUUUUAUGUCUAUGAUUAGAGUAUGCAGGAGCUGGUAAUACAUCAACUUUUGGAGAUGUUUAUAGUUUUGUAAUAGUACUUCUUGAGAUGCUGACAGGCAAAAGACCAACAGAUCACAUGUUCAGGAAUGACUCACCAUUAUUAGCUUUGUGUGGAAAGGUACUUUCCCAAUCAGAUACUAGAUGUUGUCGAUACUCAUUUGCUAGAAGAAUCCAAGGCGUUCAUCGAAGCAACUGCGGCGACAGAAAAUCUUAAGAUCUUCCUGUGCUUGUUGUCUUUGCUACGAGUAGCACUUAUUUGUACACGCCAAAACCCAAGAGAACGAAUUAACAUGAGAGAAGUAGCAGCCAGAUUAAGUGCAAUCAAGAUGUCAUACGUGGGACUGUGGGAGGAAGAGUUAAGGGCUAAACUUCGUUCAAGAGACUCAUAAGUUGGGCUUCUCACAGGAGUUGAAGGAAGAAAGAAAAUGGUAAAAGUUUAAGCUUCUCGAUACAAUAGGGACUCUGCUUGUAGAACCAAAUUUGAAGAUUUUUGAAUGCUUUAGUGAAUUGAUUGAGUUAUACAAAAACAGCUUCAUUGGUCAAAUUCCUAUUUCUCUUGGCAAGCUCAUUAGCUUGCGCACUCUAUCCCUUGGGAGAAACAACCCUAGCUUGAAGCAAACGACAACCAAAGCUGGGAAUUCUUUGAUGCGUUGAAAAAUUGUAGCCUUCUACAAUAUCUCAUUCUAGGCAACAACCGACUAUAGGGAGUUAGAACACCUUCGGUUGGUAGCCUAACCACCAAUCUUAUAGUAUUACAAUUAAAUUGGAACAACCUUUCGGGAAUAGUUUCGCCAAGAAUACGAAACCUUUCCGGUUUAAUUCAACUAGGAUUAAGCUACAACAAUUUUACUGAACAAAUGAAUAAUGGAUUGGAGGAACUCUUAAACAUAUCUAGCUAUAUCCAUUGGAACAACUUUGAUGGGCCAAUUAUUCUCUACGACGUAUUACUCAGUUAGAAAGACUCUUACUACCAGAAAGUGAAUUUGAUGGUUCAAUACCACGUAUAGCUUAGGAGACCCUCAACAACUUUCCUGGUUGGGCCUUAGUAAUAACAAUCUUCAAGGAAACAUACCUCCCCAGCUUGGCAGCCUUAAAAAACUCACUGAUCUUCAUCUUCAAUCAAGCAAACCCACUAGGCCCCAUAGACUGCCAAGUGAGCUUCUGUCCCGUGAUCUUUUUUCCAGAAACUCCUUUAUGUCUGUGUUCUGUUGGUUAUCAGACUGCUUUGCUGAUGUUGCUUCUCCAUACAAAUCAUAUAUUCAUAUCCAAGAGGAAAUAUCAAAAAUGGAGUAUUUGCAUAUGCGACAGCGCUGUUUCACUAGAUAGCUAUUUAGGACUCUGUGGAGGAGUUACUAAUCAUCUGAAUAUGCUCUCAUGUCCAGCGGUUUCCCAGAGAAUACAAAGCCGAUAUUUUUCUAAUAAGAGUACUGAUCCAAGUAUUUGGCUUCAUGUCAAUUAUGUUGUUGAUCUGUACAUUGACGGACAAGAAGGUUCCAAGUAAAAUAUAUUUAUUGUUGCAGCAUUCAUUUGGCAAGUAGUUCCUACAAAGAUCUAGCUCAAGAGACAGCAAACUUUUUUCUGGAUCGAACCUACUUAGGAGAGGAAGCUAUGGCUCUGCGAUUGCUAUCUCUAGUGCAGAUCGCUCUUUCUUGCACUCGUGUAUUCCCAAGAGAAACAAUAUUGAACAUGAGAGAAGUUGCCAGUAAGUUGCAAUCAAUCAGAAUGACAUACGUGGGAUCGACCAAGAGAAAACAAGUCCUGAUUCAUAUUUAGUAGAGUAUUUUACAAUGUGACAGGAAUAUUCUGUAGGCAGUUUAGGUUCUCUUUGAAUGCAAUGGGCACAAAGUUGGUAAUUCAGCCUAUGAUUUCGCAUGUUAAAAAAGAACAAGAUACCCUGCUACUGCUAAGCUGCAGCCUGUUGGUGGUGAAUGAUGAACAGUGUCCAAUACCAUCAUAUUAAGAUUUGGCUUUUGAGCAUUUGGAAAAUUGGAUUUGAUAAAGUAUCAGUAAGUUGACAAAGUAUUCAGAUCGCUUCUAUGGUAGCGUGUGACUGUAACACUGAGUGGUGUUUUAAACCGACGUUACAUGGAUACGUCAGGGAGGUGCCGUAUCCUGUAUUGUAUACGUAUCCAUAUCGGAUACGGCCAGGAUACGUGAUGGAUAAAUAUAGUAAAUGUUGAUACGUGGGCCCACACGUAUCGGGCUGAUUUUGCGAUACGGCCUAGUCCAAAUCCACCUCUUAUCCACACACCUGCUACCUACUCGCUACAGCCCCCACCCCGACAUCCUCACGCAUUGCGCUGCCGGCCCCUCGCUCCCCCGCACGGUGGUCACAUGAGCGCCUCCACCUGCUGGAGGGGGCACCAGGCCGGCGUCCGCCAGAGAAGGACCUCUGCCAGGGGACGCUCCGUAGCUCUGAUUUGCCUGCGAAGAAGCUCUGCAGCUCUGACAACCAAGCUCACGACGGAACUAAUUGCCAAGGCGGCGACAUUCUGUGAGUUUCUUCCUCAUCAGCUUGUUUGGUGGCUCUUCCCUUUCUCGAUCUACAUUUGUUCUUCGGUUCUUGAUAUUUUGCUGCUCAAUUUUCCGAUUCCCUUCCUCAUCCUAAUCUUUCGCCAACAGAUAGCAGCACCAAAUUCGAGCGUGCUAGUUCUACUUUUUCUUUGCCUACCGGCUAACGCUCCUCUUUCAAGCAAUAACGAUAAGAAGAACAAGAGUGGAUCCGACCUGCUUCACCAAUUGACAAAUUUUUAGCAUUGCACCUGGUUAUUGUUGUAAAAUUUGUUAUGCAUUAUUUUUAUAUAUUAAAAAAUUGACUAAAUGUAUCGGCGUAUCGUAUUGUUUGGAAAAAUCACGUAUUUGCGUAUCUGUAUCCGUCCGAUACUUUAUGAUAAAUGGAACGACGCAGCUAAUCGACCGCAAGUCCGCAAUCUAGCUAACAACCGCUCGGAUCCCUAAUCCGAACCUCAAACUACAGUCACUCAAAAAGUUAAGGUCGACGAGAUGCUGUGCAUACCGUUAGUGCGGCCGCUGGUCAGCCGCCUGCUUCGCCGUCCGCCGCUGCCCGCAACUGCGACUGCUCCACGCUCUGUCCCAGACGACGCGCGCCGCCUGCGCUCGCGUAGUGGCCGAUUUCUUCCGCAACGGCGCGGUGCCGCCGCGGUGGGACCGUGGGAACCGCUUCGUCGCUUUGUGACCGGUGAGAUUUUGCCAGUCUGUAGCCGUCGUUGGGCAAGAAGGCCGACGAGGCUUUGUUGGCUGGGCCGUUUUUGUUUUUGGGCCAUGGCACGAUGACCCAGUCCGCUCUUCUUUGGAUCUGUUCAUGUCGUGCACACAACAGGUGGCGAAUCAGUUCCAACCUUUUUGUUAGCCUCUUGCUUGCCUCAAGAUUUCCAGGAAUUAAUUCUGGCCCUGGGAUAUAGUAGAAAAUUGGUGCUUAAUGGUGACGAAAUUUCCAGGAAUUAAGGGAGCUCCUGCUCUCAAUCUCCAAGUUCAAUCACUCGAAACAAACAAGCCAUAGAACAUGCAAGGUUAUUCAGCUUCUGCACAUUACCAUAUACGUACUUAUGAACAAUGUUAUCUGAAUACAACAACGUCAGGAGUGCAACUUCUUGUUAAGUCAAAUAAUAACAUUGAUUACUUCACCACAUGCUAAUGUAGCUUCCAAAACAUCGACAAAAAAAUAGUUAAACAUAGCGCAAUACAAUUGUACUGUAGACACAGCUACAGUCGCAAUACAACAAUGUUUAGUUUGGCUUGCACAGAAUUUUUUUCUUGGACGAACGGGCACACAAAACUGUGCACUAUUUCUAUUAAUAUAGAAGGAGUAACAAACGGGCAGCCAUGGAAGGCUCCCUCUCCCUACAUGCUAAAAAAAUGUACAAGUGUAAAAGACUAAAACUGAACAGAAAAUUUGGAUCUAUACACUUCUAGGAUGGUUUAAAUUCACAAAGUUCUUUCUUCAAAGAAUUUAUCCAGAUGCACAACCUUUAACGGACUAGCACAAUAAAACACGAGGUUGUAUAUUUCCUUAAGACAUGAAAGAACGUGGUGUCAUGAAAGAAUUUGCAUCCUCAAACAGAACAAAUGAUGCAUGGAUGUAACUCAUCCUCAGAUCUAGUGUCGCUCAAAUUGAUUGGGGAGGUGGUGACUACGCUUUCGGGCUGCGGCUAACCCUGCUACCCCAUUGGACGAUGCGCUGGCUCCAGAAUGCAAACCAUUAUUGGUGAUACAGUGGUUUCCGUGUGAGCUUUUUUUUUCGGAGCCCUUAUGAACAUGUAGGUGAGGGAAUCAAAGGACGUAGCACAUAGGGGUCGCUCAUGGUUUUGGCGUCGUGUCCGGCGGCCAAAUACAUUCCGUUGCGUGACCACCCUGCGCGAGACGACACUGCACAAGCGGACGCGGCGGCCUCAUGACUCAUGCGUGCAAUGAUCGUUGCACCUCGUUCCCUUGCCGUCGGGAUGCGUGUGAUGAUCGUGACUACGGUUUCUCGCAUACUUCCUCCGUUUCAAAAUGUAGAUUUUUAAUUUUUUUAAGUACAUAGAUUUUACUAUAUAUCUAGACAUUACCGUAUAUUUAAGUGCACAGUAAAAUUUAUGAAAUUAGAAAAAAUCAAAACGAUCUACAUUUUGGAACGGAGGGAGUGGAGAUAGAUGCUGCUAUGCUGCCGCAUGUGCGACGAAGCUAGCUUAUGUACACAGUUUACCCUGUAGCAUAGAUCUCUGGUCAGUAGAUAGAUGUUUUGUUCACGAUUCCCUUAAUUACUGCAAGUGGUGCACAAAUUACGACUAGCGCCCAUAAACCUUCAACAAGAUGCAAGCUGUAUCCGGCAUACCAGGGUGGAGAAUGGCCCUUAUACAGUCGUACUGCUGUACAACCACUGAUUUCACAAUUCAGGACUCACGUCCUAUACUCCAAGUGCCUGAUUUUUUCCUUACCUUUUACUUUUAUUCCAGUCGCCAGCAAGUUAACGGCAGCGGCUCUCUGGUGGAACUUGCCGGGUGGUGGCAAGCCUGGCUGUGAGGGCAGGACCGCAGGAAGGCAGGGCUAGGGAUGCGGGGCGGGUUUUUUUGGCCGCGAACCUGCUGGGUGAGCCCGUACCGUGAAUCCACGUAACCCGCGUAAUUGCAGCGGUCCAAGCGGGCAUGCCCGCCGUACUCAACGGCGCCGCAAGCGUCAUUCAUACGAGCGUGAAAAUUCUUAUCUUCUCCUAAUAGUACAACAGGCCGUCCCUAGUCACUGCUUUGACUUUUUAUCAACCAGCGGCUGGUAUGUUGCUUAUAUAUGGAGCCACGGCAACUUAUGUAACUAGAUUUUGUGUUUGUUGAAGAUUUUUUUACCUCACGAUCUUGUAAUAAGUGUGCACAUGAAUUAGCUCGAUCUAGUUUGAGUUGGGACUCGGAUCAGUCAUGUGUUUGGCUUAAUCCCCUACCGGAAUUUGUAAAGUUAUUAGCAGUUCAUAAUUUUCCUGAACCACAGACAAAACGAUUUGUAGUGAUGCCCAUUGUUUAGCGACGGGCGAAAUUACCACCUGCACCUACAAAACGUGGGGAGGAGGAUUACUGUAGCAUCCGCACCGCCCCUGGAGAAACAUUUGCAGGGACGGGUCACGAGGACCCGCCCCUAGAAAUGGGCACUAUUUCCAAGGGUGGGUGAUGCCGAUACGUCGCCAAGAAUUUUUUACAACAAAAAGAAAAAUAAUUUGCAGGGAUGGGUGAUGGCGUCAUCCGUCCCUAAAAAUCUUUUCUAGGAGUAGGUGAUGGUGUCACCCGCCCCUUUCCCAGGGCAGGUGACUGCUAAUGCCUCCUAUAUAAGGCAGUCCGCACCGGGGACUUAGCCAAAAAUUCACAGAAGCGCGCGGGACGUCGUUAGGCUGCCGAAUUUUCACUUCCCUCCCCCGAUCUGCCGCCCCCUCCCCCAUGGGCUCCACCACCGCAGUGCCUCCCCUUCCCCCCGGGCCACCGCGCCACGCCUCCUCCCCUCCCUCACGGCGCCUUCCUGUCGCGGCGCCUCCCCUCCCCGCUGCCUCCACCGCUGGGCCAUAGCGCUGAGCCUCCUCCCCUCCUCCCGUGGUGCCUUCCCAUUGCGGUGCCUCCUCUCCCCGCGUCUCCCCUCCUGUGCCGCCUCCACCACCAUGCCUCCCUUUCCACGGGCUACCGCCAUAGCGCCUCCCUCCCCCGCGCGCCUCCCUUCCCCGCGGUGCCUCCGUCCACGACCGUCAGUUUCUUAAUUUUAUUUUAUUUUCUUUUUAUUUUUUUAUUUUGAUUUUAUUUUAACUAUGAGCCGUACUCUCUCCGUCCCAAAUUACAAGUUAUUUUGGCCUUUUUAGAUUCAUAGACUUUGUUAUGCACUAAGAUAUACACUAUAUCUAGAUGCAUAAUAAUAUCUAUGCAUCUAGAAAAGCCAAAACGACCUAUAAUUUGGGAUGGAGGAAGUAGUACUUAGUGUAAAACAACAAUUACAAAUUUCUUCCAUUAUCUUAGACAAUCUUUUAUCCUUAGCAUUUCGUGAAUUAUGAUGUUUUACGGCGCAAUUAUUAUUAAAGUUGAUGUUUGUGGAAUAAUCUAUCUUAUUACAAUUUUAUUUGGAUAGUUUGUGCUAAGUAUGGCAAAUAGACAUUCUUUUCGCCACGGUGGUGGCGGUCGUGGAAGUGGCAGGGAACACUACAUUUUCGAGGAGCCACCGUUGGUUCGUCCUCCGGGAAUUCACUUCCCUAAUCGCGUCAUUGACUUGCCUACCGACGAUCGAAGUAAAGGAGCAAUUUCCAAUAUAGUAAUUCCUAAUUUUAUUACACAUGCAUAUAGUUCCCAAUAUAGUAAUAUUAUUUCCUUCUUGUAAUUGGUUGUUUUAUUACACAUUAAUAAUUUCUUUUUACUUACAUACAAUAUAGCUUAUGGACCCUAUUAGAUGGCUCAAAGAUGUUGUCGAAGCUCUAGAUGGUACCACUCCUUUAGUGUAAUCCGAGGUUGGUGGUGCAAGUAAUUUUAUAAGACUAAAGAUCUCUUUUGAAGUACCUGUUCGAGGAGGAUAGGCCAACUUGAUGCGACGACCAGGAUAGGCUAUUCCGAUGGUAUCAAUUGUCGCAUGAGGUAAAGAAGCAGCUUGACUUUUGAAAAGCCCGUCGUAAAGGCAUGCCUACAACAACUGGAUAAUGGGUACUUUAUGCCAGGCUUCUUAUAUUUUCGAAUAAAGACGCUCGAGGAGAGAGAAAGCAAUGUGACUAUGACUACUGUGAGGUUUUAUCAGCUGAAUCAACAUGACAUGGUAUGUAAUAUAUCUAUUCAUUCUUACAUCUUUAGUUAUGUUACAUCUCUCAACUUUCAUCACAUUAUUUUUAUUUUUAGGAUAUCUUUGGUCAAAUAUUUGCGGCAAUGAGAUUUCAUACGAUUCUAGCUCAAGUCUUAGAUGUGUUGAAUUAUAGUUACAUCGAUGGAAACUUGAUACGCACUAGAGAUUUUAAGCUCCAGGCUCAUCUCACUUUCUACAGGCCAUAUGAUUUUACCUCUCCAUUGUUCGAGAUUUAUGGUAGUGUAUGUGAUCAUCCAUACGAAGCGAUAGAGAGUGCACUAAUUCAUGCUCUAGUUUAUAUUGAUGAAGUUCUAGGCUUUAAGAUUAGAGACUUAAACUAUAUUUCAUAUCUAUGAAGCGAAGCUAAGUAUGAAAUAUGUAGCAUGCAUGGAUGCUCUACCCUUUUCUUAUGAAUUUGAACUUGUUCUGUCUAAGACCAAAGUAUUUAUGCAUGAACUUGCAUUAUGAGACUGGUUAUAUAUAUUCUGUUGCAUAUACAAUGUUCUGUGAGUGUUGGAUCUGAAUGGGUUGAUACAUGGGAGAAUCACAUUUUAAAAAUUUGGCGCAAAAAUAGUACAAAAUUUUGGCGGGAACGACAUUUCCAGCGGCGGGUGAUACCAUCACCCGCCUAGUUUGUAAGGGCGGUUCAUGACAUCACCCGCCCUUGAAAAUGUCUUUACAGGGUGGAUCUAUUACACGCUCUUGCAAACAGCUACUUUUAACUGCGAAAAGCAGGAACGGAUAGCAUGCCCGCCUUUACAAAUGCUAUUUCAACCAUCCUUGGAAACCGUUUUUUAUAGUGAUAAAUAAAAAAAUAUUUUUUAAAAAAAGUACAAUAGGCCGUCCUAACCCUACGAGCGUCAUGCGUACGAGCGUGAAGCGUCCCUGCCCUCCAAACCCAGUAGCAAUCACUGUGGCUCCUGAGUGCUGCCCCAAGCUUGAAGCUUCGUAUCCGAAAGUUCUCCUUUGGCCGCACUUGGCAUUGUCCUGCGACCCUGUCUCCCAGUCUGGCAGACCGCCACUGCCUGGCUCGAGCACGGUACCACCAUUCAAGUGAAGCAUUAGUGGUCUCCGUUUCAGCCAUUCUCGAGACCAUCCGAACAGUUAAAUUAGGUCAGGCAUAAGAGGAUAUCAAACGCCUUCCUGGAUCGCUGGGCUUCGUGCCGAAGCCAGCUAGCUACACACCUUUGGCAUCGUCGGGGGCUCAUCCCUGCACAAGAUAGUCGUGCCGUUCGAUCACCAUCCCACGUUGGCAGCCUGGCAGGACGCCCGUGAGGCGAUGAGUCGUUACGCGAGCUUAGACAGGUUAAGUAACUAUAGUAACCUUCUACUGCUUUAACUAACUGAUAAUCACUUCGAAGGAAGAAUACCAGAUUCUAUUCACUAGUAGAGAAUUGGCUUUCGAUCCGCCCCCUUUUGUCCCGGUUUAAAGUUGGCCCGGGACAAAAGGGGGUGCGCCACGGUAGGUAAAAUUGGAGGGGAGAUUUACUCCCGGUUGGUAAUUGCAACCGGGACUAAAGGCCCCACUUUAGUCCCAGUUGCAACGGCUAGCUGGGGGGCGUCGGUGGCGGGACCCUUUUAUCUCAGUUGGAGGAUCCAACCGGGAUAAAAGGUGAACCCUUUUAUCCCGGUUGGAGGCACCAACCGGGAUAAAAAGUUUAGUCCCGGUUGGUGCCUCCAACCGUUGGAGCCUCCAACCGGGACUAAACUUCCAACCAGGACAAAAGGUGUUCCUUUUUGUCUCGGUUGGAGUUUUUAACCGAGAUAAAAACUCAUCCCCAUUAUAUACGGCCAAGACAGAGGACUUUCUUCCUCCUCCAGCCCGAGCCAGUCCAGCACAUUGACAGAGAGAGCUGAGCUUCACCUACUCUCCAGUGGUGCCGAAGCAAGCAAGGAAGGUGCUGCCCGAAGUUUUUUCCCUCAUUUUCGUGGGAAUUUCACUUGGCCAACACAAGUGUUGCGAAGGUUUGCUACUUCAUCCUCGUGUUAUGCUUUGAUUUAUGCUUUGGAGAUGGAAAGAUUAUUUGCUAGAAUGUGAUGAUGAAGUAGAAAAAUGGAGAGGUAUUUUGAGCUAGAAUGUGAGGGAGAUUGAUGUGUCAUAUAUAGUAUGCAUUAUUGCAAUGGUUUAAAAAUGAUGCUACCUUGUCUAGACGGUUUAUCUUAUCAAAUUCAAUAUAGUUUUUUAAAUCCAUACUUGUUGAACUUGCAUACCAUGUUCAUUUCUGCUACGAUGUUCUCCGCCGAGCAGCAACGUAUGUCAAGAAGGAGGUUCGAUUCUACAAGAAAGAGUGGAUACGGACAUCGUGACCGUGUCCCCUUUUCCGUAGCAUCUAACCUCUUUCAUGACGAAGUGCGGUGCUGCCCAGCUGAGGACAUCCUCGCGAAAUGAUCACGGUCUUCAAGUUCAACAACUUCUGUAGUGGUAAGGAAAGAAUUUUUGUACAUAGAUGACUUCUGCUACUUGUUGAACUUGCAUACCGUGUUCAUCUCUCCGAGGAUGUUUUCCGCCGAGCAGCAACGUAUGUCAAGAAGGAGGUUCGAUUCUACGAGAAAGAGUGGAUACGGACAUCGUGACCGUGUCCCCUUUUCCGUAGCAUCUAACCUCUUUCAUGACGAUGUUGGGAUACGAGGUAGGCUACACUAGCGUAAAUCAAAAUUUCUACCGCGUAUAACCAGGAAGAACUGCCGUAUAAGGAUCACGGGAUUACCACUCGACGCACUACUGGUGCGGAAGAUGUAGAUAUGCGUCGAUGCAGUGAAGACGAUCACGUAGUCGUACGUAGUCGAUCAACGUAGUCGUACGUAGUCGAUCACGUCACGUCCAGCAGCUCCCACGUGCAGCAAGAUCGCCUCCGGUGCCGCGGCUCAUCGUGGCUCGUCGAUGGCUCGUCCAAGUGCUGCAGGCGCAACACCUCCAAGGUAUCCACACGUGCAGGGAGGAAGCGUCGCAAGCUGGACUGCUAGAUCCGCGAGUUGCAACAGGCGAGGGCGUGGGAGGCGCGGCAGAUGUGUUUCGCCAAAAGGUGUAAACCCUAGGGCGCCCCCACCCCUCUAUUUAUAGAGGUUCCUGACGGGCCUCUGGAUCCGAGGCCCAUUAGUACUUCUAAAACUAAUCCAACUCGGAUCUGAUCCGAAUUGGGCUUCCAGCCCCUUAAGUGUGUGACCCUAUGGGUUCGGAUACGUAUAGACAUGGCCCGAGUACUCCUACUCGGCCCAAUAGUCGGUAGCGGCCUCUAGCAAGACGUGCCAACUCCUACACGCACACGAAGAUCAUAUCAGACGAACCAUCACAACAUAAUAUACAUGCUAUUCCCUUUGCCUCACGAUAUUUGGUCUAGCUUCAAGCCGACCGCUCUUUCUCGAUCCUGUGAUUCGGAAUCCCUUUGUAGGUUAACUCUUAACCGUACGUAGCAUGGCCAUGCAUUUUCGGAUCCGAUCACUCGAGGGCCCCAGAGAUAUCACUCUCAAUCAGAGAGGGGCAAAUCCUAUCUUGACUGACCAUGUCUCAUAGCAUGCUUCUUGACAAACCCGAAAGCUACCUUUAUAACUACCCUGUUACGGCGUAGCAUUUGAUAGCCCCUAAGUAGGUCGAUCCACAUCUAGAAUACAUGCGACAGUCUCAGGUCUAAGGACAAAGCGUAUAUGUUGUUUAAAGAGAGAACUACUUCUCGUGUUGGGUCAGUCCUAGCACAUGUCUCCACAUGUGUCCACAUUAUCAGUUCAACAUCUCCAUGUCCAUGACUUGUGAAACAUAGUCAUCAACUAAUACAUGUGCUAGUCUAAUAUUCAUGUGUGUCCUCACAUGAACUCCGACUAGGGACAACUUUAGAAUAACCAUACAAGUAAAGAGUUUCACAUACAAUUCACAUAAUUGCAAAUCAAUUCAAGUAGCCUUUAAUGGAUAUUCAAUGAACACAAUAUACAAAUCAUGGAUACAAAUGGAAUAUCAUCAUCUCUAUGAUUGCCUCUAGGGCAUACCUCCAACAGUCUCCCACUUGCACUAGAGUCAAUCUAGAAGGUACCUAAUACCCAUAGCUCUUACAUGCGCAUCAUGCUUAGCCUGCGGGAGUGGUUUUGUCAAUGGAUCAGAAAUGUUCAGAUCCGUGUGUAUUUUGCAUAUCUUGAUCUCACCCCGGUUAACGAAGUCUCGAAUGAGAUGAAAUCGCCGCAUUACGUGUUUGUUCUUCUGGUGGUUCCUUGGCUCCUUUGCUUGCGCAAUUGCCCUAUUAUUAUCACAGUAGAGAUUCAAUGGGCUGGACGCAUUCGGGAACACACCAAGCUCAAUGAGGAAAUUCCUUAUCCAAACACCUUCCUUCGCGGCUUCCAAAGCCGCGAUGUACUCGGCUUCUGUCGUAGAAUCGGCCACCGUCUCCUGCUUGGAACUCUUCCAACUAACAGCACCACCAUUUAGCGUGAACACAAAUCCUGAUUGUGACUUUGAAUCAUCUCUGUCGGUUUGGAAACUAGCAUCGGUGUAACCUGUUACAACGAGCUCCUCCUGACCUCCAUAGACGAGGAACAUAUCUUUAGUCCUUCUCAAGUACUUAAGAAUGUUUUUCACCGCUGUCCAGUGACUCUCACCUGGAUCAGAUUGGUGUCUGCUUGUCAUACUUAGCGCAUAUGAAACAUCUGGGCGAGUACUUAUCAUUGCAUACAUGAUAGAUCCAAUAGCCGAGGCAUAUGGCACUCUACUCAUGCUAUCCCGCUCAUCAGCAGUCGAAGGACACUGAGUCUUGCUGAGAUGUAUGCCAUGUGACAUAGGCAAGAACCCUUUCUUUGCCUCUUCCAUGCUGAACCGCUUCAACACUUUGUCAAUAUAAGUAUCUUGGCUCAAACCUAUAAGCCUUCUCGAUCUAUCUCUAUAGAUCUUAAUGCCCAGAAUAUAUGCCGCUUCCCCUAAGUCCUUCAUCGAAAAACUAUUUUUCAGUGAAGUCUUUACGGACUCAAGCAUAGGAAUGUUAUUUCCAAUCAGUAAUAUGUCAUCCACAUAUAAGAUUAGAAAUACUACAGAGCUCCCACUAACCUUCUUGUAAACACAAGACUCUUCUUCGUUCUUGGUGAAGUCAAACCCUUUGACCACUUCAUCAAAACGAAUGUUCCAACUCCUAGAUGCUUACUUCAAUCCAUAAAUGGAUCUCUGAAGCUUGCAUACCUUUCCAGCAUUUUUCGGAUCGAUAAAACCCUCGGGCUGUAUCAUAUACACGUCCUCAGCUAGGUUUCCAUUCAGGAAAGCUGUCUUGACAUCCAUCUGCCAUAUCUCAUAAUCGAAAUAUGCAGCUAUAGCUAGAAUAAUCCAAAUGGACUUAAGCAUCACUACGGGCGAGAAGGUCUCGUCGUAGUCAACUCCUUGAACUUGUCAAAAACCUUUUGCGACAAGUCGUGCUUUAUAGAUGUGAACAUUUCCAUCCAUGUCCUUUUUCUUCUUAUAGAUCCACUUGCACUCUAUGGCUUUAACACCAUCAGGUGGGUCAACCAAGUUCCAAACUUGAUUGUCUCCCAUGGACUCUAUUUCGGAUUGCAUGGCACUCUGCCAUUUUUCGGAGUCUGGGUCCAUCAUUGCUUCUGCAUAUGUCGCAGGCUCAUCAUUGUCCAACAAUAAUAUUUCCCGCAUUUCGCGGAGCCUUGCCGACCUUCAUGGUUGUGGCGGUGCUUCUCUUGCCAUGGGUAUCUCAACUUGUUCUGCUACGUCAGCAUCACUCAUUGGUUCUUGCCCGAUUGGCUCAUCUUGAACUUCUUCAAGAUGCACUGUCUUUCCACUCUUUUCUCCUUUGAGAAACUCUUUCUCUAGGAAAACCCUGUUCCGAGCGACAAACACUUUGCCUUCUGAUCGGUUGUAGAAAUAAUAUCCCAAAGUUUCCUUUGGAUAUCCCACGAAAAUGCACUUAUCCGACUUGGGUGUGAUCUUGUCCGACUGAAGUCGCUUGACAAACACUUCACAUCCCCAAAUCUUUAGAAAAGACAAACUAGGAACCUUUCCAGUCCAUAUCUCAUAUGGUGUCUUAACUACGGAUUUAGAUGGUACCCUAUUAAGUGUGAAAGCUGCUGUUUCUAGAGCGUAUCCCCAAAAUGACAAUGGUAGGUCCGAAUGGCUCAUCAUUGAUCGAACCAUGUCUAACAAAGUUCGAUUACGUCGCUCGGACACACCGUUUCUCUGAGGUGUUCCAGGCGGCGUAAGUUGUGGAACAAUUCCGCAACUCUUUAGAUGAUUGCUAAACUCGUGGCUCAAAUACUCGCCUCCACGAUCAGAUUGUAAGGCCUUAAUUUUCUUGCCACGCUGAUUUUCAACUUCAUUCUGAAAUUCCUUGAACUUUUCAAAGGUUUCAGACUUGUGCCUCAUCAAGUAGACAUAGCCAUAUCUACUAAAAUCAUCAGUGAAAGUUAUGAAGUAUUGGAAUCCUCCUCUAGCCGUCAUGCUCAUUGGUCCGCAUACAUCACUAUGUACGAGUUCCAACAAGUCUACUGCUCUCUCAGGAAAUCCUGUGAAAGGCGUCUUGGUCAUCUUGCCUAGCAAGCAAGCCUCACAUGUCUCGUAUGAUUCAAAAUCAAACGAAGUUAGAAGUCCAUCAGAAUGGAGCUUCUUCAUGCGCUUUUCACUUAUAUGACCCAAACGACAAUGCCACAAGUAGGUAGGACUCAAAUCAUUAGGCCGAGGCCUUUUAGCACUUACAUUACAGACAGGUGAACCAUCAAGAUUUAAAACAAAUAAUCCAUUCACAAUGGGUGCAAAAGCCAUAAACAUAUUAUUCUUAGAGAUCACACAACCAUUGUUUUCACUCGCAAAUGAAUAACCAUCCUUCAUCAAACAUGAAGGAGACAAAAUGUUUCGACUUAAACUAGGAACAAAAUAACAAUUAUUCAACUCCAUAAUAAAUCCUGACGGGAGGUGGAGUUGCAUCGUCCCGACGGUCAACGCAGCAACUCUUGCAUUAUUGCCCACGCGGAAAUCAACUUCUCCUCUUUCCACGCUUCUACUUCUUAUCAUUCCCUGCAUUGAAUUGCAAAUAUGAGCAACCGAUCCGGUAUCAAAUACCCAAGAAUUAAUAACUGUAUCAGUGAGAAAUAUGUUGUCUAUAACAUUAACAACAAGCGUACCUGAGGUAGAAGUACUCUUACUUCCGCCGUUCUUCAACGAAGCUAGGUACUGCUUGCAGUUUCUCUUCCAGUGACCAAGUUCAUGACAGUAAAAGCACUCUUUAUCUGGAGCAGGUCCAGCUUUAGCCUUGGGCGCUGGGUUUGGCUUGGACACUCCAGCCUUGCCCUUCUUCUUCCAAGAAUUGCCCUUCUUCUUAAAGGUAGGCUUGUUCUGUACAGCCAUCACAUGGCUGGUACUAGCGCUUUUCUUAAUGUCUACCUAUGCUGUCUUGAGCAUACCACACAGUUCAUUCAGACCCUUCUCCGUCCCAUGCAUAUGGUAGUUCGAGAUGAAGUUCCCAUAGCUAGGCGGAAGAGAUGAAAGAAUGAAGUCAGUGGCCAAAUCUUUGCCCAUUGGGAAGCCCAGCUUCUCCAAUCGCUGAGUGUAACCAACCAUCUUGAUUACAUGUGGUCCUACUGCUGCGCCUUCUGCUAACUUGCACUCCAGAAAGGCUUUGGACACAUUGAACCUUUCGGUCCUAGCCUGUGUCUGGAACAUGUCCUUGAGCGCCAUGAUCAUAUCGUGUGCCUCAUGAUUUGUUUCGAACUGCAUCUGCAGCUCGGGUUCCAUGCAAGCAAGCAUAAGGCAGCUUACCUCAAGAUUAGCAUCAAAUGCCUUCUUGUAAGCAGCCUUAACGGCAGCAGAUGCAUCAUCAGCAGAUACUGGUGGUAGUGGGGUGUCUAGAACAUCUUCCUUUUUCUCAGCCCUGAGAACAAUUCUUAGGUUAUGGAUCCAAUCCGAGUAGUUUGUUCCAUUCAACUUGUCCUUCUCAAGGACCGAACGCAAAGCAAACGAUGCGGUGGUGUUGCUAGGUGCCAUUUAAUCUACAACAAAAGUAAUGCAAAAUACACUAAGACAAACGUAUCCAUGAUAGAGCAAAUUACAUUAAACUAUUUUAACAGAAUCUACUCCCACUAAAAUCAAUAUCGCUCUAUUGAAACUUAGUGAUUCAGGAUCCACAACUAACAAGUCUACUAGUGAGCUUUAGCAUCACCGCUAGCAAACGAGGUAGAUCGGUAAGCAACUUUUGCUAAUCAUAUCACAUAUGACUCCUGUUGUUGGGUGACAUCUCUAUGUCUCGGCACCCAACCUUUAUGCCCCAAGGUCCUUAACCAUUAAGAUAACCUUGUUAAGCAAACCAACCCUUAUGCGUGUAAGUGUCCGACACAAACCCGUCUAGUCAAGGAAAACUAGUGGCACCCUAAUUUCAUAGACCCACCACUAAUUGUACAAGACAUGGGACGGUGCAAGUUUUAGUUGGGAGGGCAUACUAACUUAAACUUUGUGAGGGAUCGUUCUACUUCUAACAUCACAGCAUGCAGAAAGUAAAACAUAAACAGAAUAGCAUUCACACAGUUGUGACACAGUAUGGCCCGUUUCCAUAUGGUGAUCUCCAUCUCCAUGUUCCAUGUGCGCCAUCCUCCUGGUGAAGAUUCCUCCAAGAACUAGAGCAUGCUAUUACGCCUAAUAGCUAGUAAAGAAUCUAGUAAUGAAGAUUACAUAGUUGCUUGGAUCAUCACAGAUUGGUACGCAGACCAUUAAAUACAUUAAGGUGACAACACAUAUGGCUCAUGCCGUGUUGCCGUAUGCGCGACACGCAGGUCACGAAUGAGUUACACACAUGCAUCACAUACACAAGGGGGCCAUACUGAUCACAAGAUACAUACAUACAUCCUGCAAAACAGAGUUAGACGCCCUAACGUUCCAAACUUCGGAUGCCCGAAACUCCAUCUUCCAAGCCGAAUUUGGGAAAUCUAAUUUCACCAAAAACGACAAAGCGUUGAAUUUCAUGUGUAACUUUUUCUGUAGAUCAAUUUUCGUAUAAAAAUCGCCCCGAUCCGAGAUCGUACCGAAAAGUUACGGCUGAUUUACCGAAGCAUACGCAUACGGCAAAAUCCCAACCUCGGCAGUAGAUCCCAUCUACUAUUGCACAUCUAAUGCGCCUGGCGUAUGACCCUGGAUCUCGAUUCGACCAAUCAUAUUGAUCUUCGCUCACUGCAACUGGAUUUACGUGUAUCACUUAACUCCGAUGGCGGAAACCGACCGGUAGGAGUAUGUCGUUACACUACCAUUGUAGCAAGGGCACGAAACCAGGACAUAGAUCAAACAGAAAACUCGCAUAUCUCCAUAUGCACACAUCCCGAAUCCAAAACUAAGCAGCUACGGCUCUUGAUACCACUGUUGGGAUACAAGGUAGGCUACACUAGCGUAAAUCAAAAUUUCUACCACGUAUAACCAGGAAGAACUGCCGUAUAAGGAUCACGGGAUUACCACUCGACGCACUACUGGUGCGGAAGAUGUAGAUAUGCGUCGAUGCAGUGAAGACGAUCACGUAGUCGUACGUAGUGGAUCAACGUAGUCGAUCACGUCACGUCCAGCAGCUCCCACGUGCAGCAAGAUCGCCUCCGGUGCCGCGGCUCGUCGUCGGCUCGUCAUGGCUCGUCGAUGGCUCAUCCAAGUGCUGCAGGCGCAACACCUCCAAGGUAUCCACACGUGCAGGGAGGAAGCGUCGCAAGUCGGACUGCUAGAUCCGCGAGUUGCAACAGGCGAGGGCGUGGGAGGCGCGGCAGAUGUGUUUCGCCAAAAGGUGUAAACCCUAGGGCGCCCCCACCCCUCUAUUUAUAGAGGUUCCUGACGGGCCUCUGGAUCCGAGGCCCAUUAGUACUUCUAAACCUAAUCCAACUCGGAUCUGAUCCGAAUUGGGCUUCCAGCCCCUUAAGUGUGUGACCCUAUGGGUUCGGAUACGUAUAGACAUGGCCCGAGUACUCCUACUCGGCCCAAUAGUCGGUAGCGGCCUCUAGCAAGACGUGCCAACUCCUACACGCACACGAAGAUCAUAUCAGACGAACCAUCACAACAUAAUAUACAUGCUAUUCCCUUUGCCUCACGAUAUUUGGUCUAGCUUCAAGCCGACCGCUCUUUCUCGAUCCUGUGAUUCGGAAUCCCUUUGUAGGUUAACUCUUAACCGUACGUAGCAUGGCCAUGCAUUUUCGGAUCCGAUCACUCGAGGGCCCCAGAGAUAUCACUCUCAAUCAGAGAGGGGCAAAUCCCAUCUUGACUGACCAUGUCUCAUAGCAUGCUUCUUGACAAACCCGAAAGCUACCUUUAUAACUACCCUGUUACGGCGUAGCGUUUGAUAGCCCCUAAGUAGGUCGAUCCACAUCUAGAAUACAUGCGACAGUCUCAGGUCUAAGGACAAAGUGUAUAUGUUGUUUAAAGAGAGAACUACUUCUCGUGUUGGGUCAGUCCUAGCACAUGUCUCCACAUGUGUCCACAUUAUUAGUUCAACAUCUCCAUGUCCAUGACUUGUGAAACAUAGUCAUCAACUAAUACAUGUGCUAGUCUAAUAUUCAUGUGUGUCCUCACAUGAACUCCGACUAGGGACAACUUUAGAAUAACCAUACAAGUAAAGAGUUUCACAUACAAUUCACAUAAUUGCAAAUCAAUUCAAGUAGCCUUUAAUGGAUAUUCAAUGAACACAAUAUAUAAAUCAUGGAUACAAAUGGAAUAUCAUCAUCUCUAUGAUUGCCUCUAGGGCAUACCUCCAACAGACGAAGUGCGGUGCCGCCCAGUUGAGGACAUCCUCGCGAGAUGAUCACGGUCUUCAAGUUGAACAACUUAUGCAGUGUUAAGAUAAUAAUUUUUGUACAUAGAUGGCUUCUGCUACUGGAGGAAGUGGCGAUGGUGGGGGCGAUCGUGGUUCCUAUUAUGGCAAGGUUCCAAUCAUAGUUGGCCCUCACCAUAAGCCAAAGAAAAAGAGCACGCUAGAAAAAGCAAUGCUUCGUUAUUUGCGGCAACGUCAUGAAGAAGCUGUUGCCGCGGGUCAGGAACCUCCUUUUGGUGGUCGUUAUGCUCCACCCUCAGUCCCGGGUGUUUCACGUCCACUUAGUACUACCGUUUCAGGCGGCACAAAUAAACCUAAGGAUGAGGUGUGGUCAGCGGAACCUUCGUCUUCACCGUCCAAGGAUGCUUAAAGUCCUCCUUGAUAAUAACCAAUGGAUGGCUUGUUGUAUUGUAUCAUGUUGUUUGGGACUUUAAUUUAAAUAUGUGUAUUUGGAUCUUCAUGUUGUUGUAUUGUACCAUGUUGUUUGGAUCUUUAAUCGAUUUUCACGCGUAAUCCAUUGUCAAGUGUAAUCCAUUUUCAUGCGUAAUACGAUGCAGAUGGACCGGCAAUGGAUGUAUAAUGCAGACACGCGGAGCAAGGCGUUUAUUGAUGGCUUGCAUUAUUUUCUCGAAGUGGCAAAAGCGAACAAGCCAGAGAAUGGGUUCGUAUGUUGUCCAUGCUUCCAAUGCAAUAACAGGAAGGAGUAUUCAAAGGAUUCCUGGGGGACUAUUCACAGCCACUUGUUUAAAUACGGUUUUAUGCCUAACUAUUUGGUUUGGACCAAGCACGGUGAACUAGGGGUUGUAGUGGAAGAUGGCGAGGAGGAGGAGGAAGAUCACACCAUUCCGGACUGGGUUGCAGGCCAAGCUUUUGCAGGUACUACAAUGGGCGAGGCUGAUGAAGAUGAGUUUGCGAAAAAUGGCCCUACUGAUGACCUUGGUCAGGUGAUACGAGAUGCAUACAGAGAUUGCGAAACUGAGAAGGAAGCAGCAAAGUUGCAGUGCAUGAUAGAUGAUCACCAAAAAUUGUUGUACCCAGGUUGCCAGCAGGGCCAUAAAAAACUAGGUACGACACUAGAAUUUGUGCAAUGGAAGGCAAAAAAUGGUGUGUCUGAUAAGGCAUUUCAGGGGAUGUUGAACAUUGUCAAGAAGAUUCUCCCCGAGAAUAAUGAAUUACCGUCCACAACAUAUGAAGCUAAACAGAUUAUUUGCCCUCUCGGAUUGGAUGUUCAGAAGAUACACGCAUGCCCUAAUGACUGUAUCCUCUAUCGUGGUGAUGAAUAUGAGAAAUUGGAUGCUUGUCCCGUCUGCGAAGCCCUGCGGUAUAAGAUCAGGCGAGAUGAUCCUGGUGAUGUCGAGGGGCAGUCUCUCAAGAAGAGAGUUCCCGCGAAGGUGAUGUGGUAUUUCCCUAUAAUACCACGCUUGAAGCGCUUGUUCAGGAAAAAGACGAAUGCUAAGUUGAUGCGAUGGCACAAAGAAGACCGUAAGGAAGAUGAGAUGCUGAGACACCCCGCAGAUGGGGCACAGUGGAGAUCAAUUGAUAGAACAUUCCCAGACUUUGAAUGUGAAGCAAGGAACAUAAGGUUUGGUUUAAGCACUGAUGGAUUCAAUCCAUUCGGUGAGUUGAGUAGUGGCCAUAGUACUUGGCCUGUGACCCUUUGUAUGUUCAACCUUCCUCCUUGGCUGUGCAUGAAGCGGAAGUUCAUUAUGAUGCUGGCGCUUAUCCAAGGCCCAAAACAACCCGGCAACGACAUUGACGUGUACCUAAGGCCGUUGGUUGAUGACCUUUUACAGCUCUGGAAGGAAGAAGGUGUACGUGUGUGGGAUGAGGAUAGACAAGAGAUCUUUAAUCUAUGAGCACUGUUGUUCGUAACCAUCAACGAUUGGCCUGCAUUGAGUAACCUUUCAGGACAGACAAAUAAGGAAUAUCGGGCAUGCACCCACUGUUUAGACGACACAGACAGCAUGUACUUGAAGCACUGUAAGAAGGUCGUCUAUAUGGGUCAUCGUCGAUUUCUCCCUGCUCACCACCAGCUGAGAAAGAGCAGGAUGCAUUUCAAAGGGGCGCCAAACCAUCGUAAAAAACCUGCACACCGUAAUGGAAAGCGUGUGUUUGAGAUGAUGAAGGAUGUAAAUGUAGUCUUUGGAAAGGGACUUGGUAGCCAACCUGUUCCGAACGACGAUAACGGACAUGCACCCAUGUGGAAGAAAAAGUCAAUAUUUUGGGAGCUACCUUAUUGGGAAAUCCUAGAGGUUCGCAACGCAAUAGACGUGAUGCACCUGAUGAAGAAUCUUUGCGUGAACGUGCUAGGCUUCAUGGGUGUUUAUGGAACCUCAAAAGAUACAUUGGAAGCACGACAGGACCUGAAAGCCAUGGGGCAACGAGAUGACCUACAUCCGGAAAAGAGAGAUAAUGGACAGCACUACUUACGUCCUGCCAGUUACACUCUCAGCAAGGAAGAGAAGGAUAGCAUGUUUGAAUGCUUGAAUAGUAUGAAGGUCCCGUCUGGGUACUCCUCGAAUAUAAAGGGAAUAAUAAAUAUGAAACAAAAGAAGUUUACAAAUCUCAAGGCUCAUGACUGCCACAUGUUGAUGACCCAGUUGCUUCCGGUUGCACUGAGGGGUGUUCUACCAGAAAAUGUCCGGUUGCCGCUCGUAAAGCUAUGCGCGUUUCUCAAUGCGAUUUUGCAGAAGGCAAUCGAUCCAUCCAAGCUAUCAAAGCUACAGAACGAUGUGGUGCAAUGUCUUGUCAGUUUUGAGUUGUUAUUUCCACCAUCCUUCUUCAAUAUUAUGACGCACUUACUGGUUCACCUAGUAAAAGAGAUUGGUAUUCUCGGACCUGUAUACCUGCACAAUAUGUGGCCUUUCGAGAGGUUCAUGGCAGUCCUAAAAAACUAUGUUCUUAAUCGUGCCCGUCCAGAAGGAAGCAUCGCCAAGGGAUAUGGAACAGAGGAGGUGAUCGAGUUUUGUGUUGAUUUUAUUGAUUCAAUUGACUCGAUUGGGGUUCCAGCUUCACGCCACGAGGGGAGGCUCCAAGGAAUGGGCACCCUUGGAAGGAAAUCAAGUUUGAGCAAUGAUACUGAUUUGUUCGACAAGGCACACUACACUGUUCUACAACAGUCAUCCUUUGUGUCUCAGUAUAUCGAGCAGCACAGGCAGAUGGUAGGUUCCAAAAACCCGACCAAAUCCGAUGCUUGGCUUACCCGUCAUCACAUGGAAACUUUUCCCUCCUGGUUGCGCCAACAACUUAUGGGUAACUCUGAGAUUCACCCACAACUUGCCUGGUUAGCCAGGGGACCUGCUACCACAAUCGUCAAAUUCCAAGGCUAUGAGAUAAAUGGUUACACAUUUUACACGAGAGCCCAGGACCAGAAAAGCAUGAACCAGAAUAGUGGUGUCCGCAUAGAUGCCAUGGACAGAAAUAAUAGCAAGGAGUCGUAUUAUGGUUUCAUACAGGAGAUAUGGGAACUCGAAUACGGACCGCUGUACAUCCCUCUAUUUCUUUGCAAUUGGGUGAAGCUAACUACCGUCACCAAAGAUCAGUACGGAAUGACAAUAGUAGAUCUGAGCAAGACUGGAUACAGUGAUGACCCAUUCGUACUUGCCAAUGAUGUGCAUCAGGUGUUCUAUGUGAAGGACAUGUGCAGCAAACCCAAGAGGAAUCCAGAAGAGACAUGGGAGCCAAAGUGCCACAUAGUUCUUCCAGGUAAAAGAAAAAUCGUGGGAGUCGAGGAUAAAACAGACCAAUCAGAUGAUUAUGAUCAGUUUGAUGGCAUGCCUCCAUUCGCCGUUGAAGUUGAUCCAAGCAUCCUGCUAUCCAAAUAAGAGGCUCCGUACUUACGCCGCGAUCAUGAUCAAGGAACUUUCGUGAAGAAGAAAUUUUACAACAUUGUAUUGUAAUGCGUUAAAUGUACAUGAUCUUUGUGUAUUAAUUGAUACAAUUUGUAAUUUACCCUAUGUAUGAUUUCAUGUCUUCUUAAAUUUCUUAGGUGAAGAUUUUAUAGAUAAACAUGAACAAUGUUAACCACAAACAAACAUGGAUUUUUUUGCGCAUUGAAAUUAUUUAAUUGAAUAAUUUCUUGAUCACAACAAUGCAGUAAAAUAAAUAUUUUAGAGGCUAAAUGAACUGGUAUAGAAUUCAUGAUUAAUUCAUACUUAUUGUCAAUUUACUCGUUAAUUAAAUAUAUUUUUGCAUGUACAAAAUCUGUGAAGGUUUUGUUUUUCAUCCUGAAAUGCAGUGAAAAGAUAAAAUAAAAUCCAUUUCCAAAAAAUAGGCGGGAGAAGAAAAGUAGGAAAAAAGACCUUUUGUCUCGGGUGCUAACAGCAACCGGGACAAAAGGCCCCCCUUUUAUCCCGGUUGCAAACUGCAACCGGGAUAAAAGGGUACUUUUCGUCUCCCGCCCCGACGUACCCUUUUAUCCCGGUUGCCAACUGCAAUCGGGAUAAAAGGCCCCCCCUUUUAUCCCGGUUGGUGGUGGCACCUGGGAUAAAAGGGUACGCUCCCAGCCCUACCUGGCGGGGGCACCCUUUUGUACCGGGUCCCGUCACCAACCGGGAUAAAAGGCAACCGGGAUAAAAGGCCUUUUAUCCCGGUUGGUGACGGGACCCGGGACAAAAGGCCCUUUUGUCCCGGGUGGCAUUACGAACCGGGAUAAAGGGGGGGGGGGUUAAAAGGCACUGUACUCCCUUCUACCCCCCGCCAGUUACACUUAGCCAAAUUUUCGCCUAGUCCCGCGCGUUCUCCGCCGUCGCCGCCCGUCCGCCUCCCUCGCCGGCCGCCGCCGUCGUCGUCCCCCAUUGCACCGUCGACGUCCCCCAUUGCGCCGUCGUCGUCCCCCGGCCGGCCUGCCUCGAUCCCCUCCUCGUCCGUCGACGCGCCCGGCCCCCGGCCGCCUCGUCGCCUCCGGCCACCGGCUCCAUCCUCGUCGCCGGCUGCAUCCUCGUCGCCCCUCGUCGCCCCUCGUCGCCGUCUCGUCGCCGUCCCACCUACGCCACCCGGCCGCCGCCGUCCCGCCGCCCCGGCCGCCGCCCCGCGCGCGAGAGGUCCGCCGCCGCGCCGGCCGGCAGCGCCGGGAGGGUUUUUUUUUUAAGUUAGAAAAUUAAGUUAUAUUUUUAUGAUAGAUUUUUAAUUUUGAUUGUUAAGCUAGAAAAUUAAGUUAUAUUUUUAAGUUAGAUUUUUUAGUUAGUUUGUUAAGUUAGAUUUUUAAGUUAGAAAAUAAAGUUAGAAAUUCGUAGGAUGCACCGCCGUCCCCUCCGCCGUCCUGCCGCCGUGACCGCCGCCGUCCCGCCGCCCGUCACAACCUAGUAGACACCGCCCGUGGUUCCGGGGAACCGUCCCCGCCUCCGCCGUACCGCCGCCGUGAUCGCCGCCCGUCACAACCUAGUAGGCACCGCCCGUGGUUCCGGGGAACCGUCCCCGCCUCCGUCGUACCGCCGCCCUCAGUGCCGCCGUCACAACCUAGGCAGCGCCCGUGGUUCCAGGGAACCAUCCCCGCCUCCGCCGCCCUGAUCGCCGCCGUUACAACCUAGGCACCGCACGUGGAUAUUGUUAGAAAUUCGUAGAAAUUCAUAGAAAUUCGUAGAAAUUCGUCAAAAUUCGUAGAAAUUCGUAGAAAUUCAUAGAAAUUUGUAGAAAUUCAUAGAAAUUUGUAGAAAUUUGUCAAAAUUCGUAGAAAUUCGUAGAAAUUCGUAGAAAUUUGUAUAAAUAUUCCGGACUUUGUAGGAUUCAUGUUAUUUUAUGAUUUCAUUAUAUACAUUAUGAUUCCGGACUUUGUAGGACUUUGUAGAAAUUUGUAGUAAGAUGAUUUCUAUGACUGUCAUGUAUGAUUCCAUGUAUGUUUCCAUCAAUAGUUGAAAUGGCAGACGAUGAGACCGCAAGGUAUAUCAUGGAGCAGAUAAUCGCUGGUGAUGGUAGUGGCGACAACAUUCCACUAUCAUACAUGGAUGAAGAGGGCACCCAGGCGGACAUGUUCCUCAACAUGUCCGCCGAUGGGAAUGAAGAGCAACAGCCGCAGCAACAACUUGCCGUGGUGGAAGGUUCCGGCGAGGUAUAUGUUGGCGCUAGAAAUCGGUCAACCGAAUCCCAGCGACCGACACACGACCCGGGAGAAUCUGCUUAGCUCCUGUUCGGGUGAAUGCCCUGGUGCAGUUCGCGCAGCGUGCCAGCCAAUCUGACCUGUUGAUUGGCAAGGAAGAAUACGUGUCAGGUCCAGAAAUCACGAUCGGCUAAGUUUCCGAUCGAGAGAAUUUAUCAACGAAUCGGCCGAUUUACUGUAGUAAUGAAAUCGGCUAUAAGACAGCCUGAUCUCUGUAGCCUUGUAGACAAGGAAUUACUAAAGUAAUCGAUACAAAGCUAUGAUAACAACACUAGGAACAGAUCUAAUCGGCAAUAGAUGAAUUUAAUAACAGAAUAUAGAAAGAGCCGAAACUACCGAUUCCUAGCUGGAUAACUGGUGAUAAAGACUAGAAAAAUAGGUAAAACCUAUGGAUCUAGCAAAUAUCGAUAACUAGUGAAUAUAUCUAAACGAAACAACAGCGAUACGCCCGAAGUUAAAGCUUAGAUAUUACUCGAUAAACGGAACUUACAGAAUCGGCCGGAGAUCAAGAUGAUGCAGCCCUGCCAACCCGCAUGAACUCGUGAGAAGAGAAAAGUAAUGGCGAAGUCGCCUGCUUGAAAGUAAGUACGAAGAAAAAGUAGCUUGUUGUAUUGAUUGGUUGAUGAUUACAGAUUUACAAAGGUAGCUAUUUAUAGCCCCAUACAGAUAUCUUCUUAACCGACUAGAAUUCUAUCCCUAAUUCAAACAGAAAACGAAUAUCUACAAGCAUGAUUCGUGCUAGGUUAGUUACUCCACGCUUCGUGGGCUGAUUUCCAGCUCACCCUUCUAUUCCAAGCCCAUACAGGCCCAAUUAACCCAUCCUCCUAAUCGGCCGAUUCCUCAUCGGCAAAAGGCUACCGAUUGGGACUCUGGUAUAUUCGACCCGAAACGAGACAGAAGUCACCGGCCGAUCUCACACUGUAGCACCACUUGGCCGAUUCCCAAUUGUGCUCCUCCGAUUCCCUCUCUUCUUGGCGCCGAUUCUACUAGUGACGAAAUCUGGCGUCAACACAUGCCCCCCAGUUUCGGAGUAAAACAUAGUCUUUUACUUCGAAAUUCUUUAUAACCUCCCUUCCGAAACGGCCGCAGUGAAAAUAUCCCUCCGUUUCGCGGUCUUCCAGCUGAUCAUUGCAAUUUUUCGAAACGGGCGCCCACGACAGCCACUACUCCCGAAAAACUCGAAACGCCGGCGCGGUGAAAAUUCCAUUUUUACCCCCCUUCAGGCAUCCUUUAAAUAGCGCUUCACCCGCACCUCAUCUUCAAGCUCACGUCUCUUUUCCCAGUGCGCGCGCCUUCUUCCUCCUUCAGCAUCUUUCCCUUGCCGCCGAAGCUUCCUAGCUCCACCUCCUGUUACUCUUCCCUCUUCUCUUUCAAUGGCGGCUCCUUCCGGCAGCUCUCCCGCAUGCGAUGUCCCAGAGGUAGCGCCUCCGGCGGUGGUAGCGACAGCCGUCGCUCCAUCCACAGAAGAAGGAGCUUCAUCGGAGAUCCCAAUGGCGAUCCCCAUCACGGCCCCGUUGUCCGCAUCCGCACCGGCAACCACGCCGAUCACUCAGAACUUCAUCCCAGAGGUAAAUACCGAAUCCUUCUCCUAUCGGCAAUUAAUUUACCUUAGAUCUGUUUCUUACUUUUUACACCCCCUUUUCCUUUUUUAGGCAGUUAGGCAUCGCAUUACCAUUCACCUUACGGGAAAUCCCGGCCUUAUUUGUCUCGGACCUAUGGGAAACCCAGAUCCAAUAGAGCUUAUUAAUUUGGAAACCCACAGGAUACCCUUCAAACUGUCUAAUAUGGACUUAGAUCAGUGGCUGGGUACUUUUAGAUCUUGGCCGAAUGAAACCCCAGGUUGGAGGGAGUGGUACCAAUGGAUAGCCGCAUCAAAGAGCGUCUCAUGGGAAGAGCUCAAAAUCGGCCAGUGCAUCAACCUUUCCUUAUCCCAGAUGGAGAAAAAUGAGCCGUUAGUAAUGGCGGCUUCUUAUUUUUGGUCUGAUGCACUUAAUGCCUUCUUAUUUGGGCACGGUCCUAUGACCCCAACACUGGCCGAUGUGGUCCUGUUGACCGGCCUCGACAUAUCCUCCCCGGACACACCCUAUCACCUUUUAACCACAACGUCACAUCGGCUGGACACAAGGGGAAUCGGCGGGUGGAAGGGUUUCAUCAAAAGUAAUAAGAGGACCGGGACUGUUGAGAAUAGGGAGCACACAGCUUUCCUGAUGAUGUGGCUAGAAAAGCACUUCUUUUGCGGAAGAGCCGCCGGCCCGACAACCAAUACCCAGGCCUUAGCUGAAGCACUGUCCAAGGGAAACCAUGUCCCUCUUGGGAAACAUCUGCUAGGGGCCGCGUACCACAUGCUACAUCAAAUCGGCAUAAGACUAUCCAAGGGAGAGCCGAUCGGCAAUCAAGGCGGGCCCUGGUGGUUCAUCAACUUGUGGUUGAACCUUUAUAUGAGCAGAAUUACUCAGCAGCCGGUGGAUCGCAUGACGUUCCCCAACAUCGAAUCGGUAGAAGACCCUACCGAACGUCGCCGAUGUAUGUCCUUUGGUGAAGCGGCAUCGGCUUUUCCAGGUUGCAUGUAUUCUGCUACAAAGGUAGCCGAGUACUUUCGAUGCUUCUAUAAUGGCUUUAGUGAAGAUGCAACCAUUUGGUUUCCGUAUUAGCGAGACGACCCGGUCUUUGAACUCCCCACUUGCUUCGAUUCGGCUUCCGGCCGAUUUGAUAUAGAGCUCUAUGAUGAGUUGAUCAAGCCAGGGCUCCUGCCAGCCAAUUUCUUCUCGGGGAAGGAUGCCCCUACGUACGAAUUCUACAACCCCUCCGCUGCAGCACGUCAAUUCGGCAUGGGUCAGCUGCCGAUUCAAGUGUACUUUGCUGGCCGAAUCAAGUUUAGGGAUGAGCUCACAUCUGGUCUGGAUUACAGUUGGUUACGAGACCGAAUCCCGGACUCCAGUACAAUUGACCUGAACGACUGGCUAGUAGCUCCCUUUGCUGUUCAGCCGUUCAAACUCUGGUGGGCCGAUUGGAAGCAAUUUCUUUUCUGCAACUCGGCAUCGGCAUACUGCAACCUUCUGGACCCAGCCAACAUCGACCCGAACGUCGAGGUAUUUCACUUAGCCAAUUUUUAUUCCUCUCAACAUGACUAAGCACUAAUGAUUUUAUUAUCUUUUCAGGCCGAGAAUCGAACUCCUCCAACACACAGCCGCAGCGGACGGCUAAUAGAAAGUCACCCAUACACAACUUAUCCUCUUAUCGGCUAUGACGCUCCGUCUGUUGACGUGAUUGCUGGCCGAUCAAAACAAGUCCAUAAGAGGACUACCAAGAAAACCAUUCGCCGAGUCCGAGCUCGUGUAGAAUCGGCAGAUCCCCCUGUGCUCGUAUCGGCAAAGACCCUGGCCGCACCACCUUCUCAGGUCAUCCAAGAUGCCGAUACCCAAGCCGUUGCGCAAGCUGGAACAGCCGCCGCGUCGUUGUUGUUGGAGGCCAUACAGGUAAACCUGAAUUUUACUGCUUCCGAUUGUUAUUCUGAUAUUAACCCUUCUUAUCCUUAGACUGCACAGAGCACCCCUAUGGAAAUACAACAAUCGGCAGCAACUCAACCAGCCAUCGGCGCGCCCCCGCUUUCAUCCGUUGAGGUAUAGUACUAUUUUACUGAUUUCCUUUGGUAUUUGCAUAAUGUACUUAUUCAAUCCUCUGACACAGGCCAUCGGCACACCAAGCGCUCCUCGACAACCGAUCUCUUCUCAGGGAGCUGGUCCAAGCACCGCGCCGAUUAUUGUGGAAUCUUCUUCAUCCGAUGAACCUAUGGCGCAGGCUCCUGAGCAAGGCGUGACGGCUUCACAAGUGCAGCAUGAGGAAAUUCGCUUCAAAAUGGUAAGUUUUGUUUCGGCUUCUAUCCAGCCGAUUUGCUUUUACUUCCAGCCGAUUUAUUUCUUUUCUUUAUUAUCUCCAGGAACAGGACACCCCCGACAACAGCCUCUUUUCUUUUGCGGUCGCCCUUUCCGACGACGAAGAGGUUGCCUCUCGCCAAGUUGCCUUGAGCUCCGUCCCUGAUGACAUCCGAGCCAAACUUUCCAGCAUCCGAUCCCUCCUUCAAGGGGACAUCGGUCGACUAGUAGAAGAUGCUUCAUCGAUUCGGCAGCUCUUCAAUGACAUCAGCGGACGAGUACCAGAAGAGGCGGAGGAAGCCCUGGCACCAGCGGCCUUCAUCGAGUCUAUGAGGAUCCCAGUCUUCAGGGCUCUUCGUCAUAUGGCCGAUCAUGCCAAGCUUGCCAAGACUCGUGAAGAGGAGGACGCGUUCAAGCGUCAGGCUCAAGAGGCACAUCGGCGCAUCCAUGUUCUGGAAGAUUCUCGCCCGGCGAUCAUCGGUGAGAUAGACCGCCUCAAGCGUCGGAGGGCGGAACUUGCCAAGGAGAUGGAGCAAGUGACUAAAGCAAUCAGUGCCGAAGAGAAAAAACUCCAAGAGCUACCUUCUGUCAUUGCCGAUUUGACACGGGAGAGGCAGCGCUUUGCUCAUGAGGCCCUAAAGCUCCAUUGCAGUACAUCAGAAGUCCCCGGAUCGGCAGAUGAAGACCAACGGGUUCUUGACUCUGCCGAUCAGAUCCGGCGCCGGGCUAUCACAGCUAUCGAUACCCUUCUGGGUAAUCUGUAAAACACUGACCGUUUGUCCGAACAUUUACUAUCUUCUUUGACCGUCCCUCGCGACGCCCUUUCUAUUUAUUACCUUUCUUAUUUCCGAUGGGACGUAGCCUUACCAAAUUUCCACGCAUCUUUUUCCAUAAAUACCGACCUCGGCACUUACUCCCGAUAGUACCAAUUUGGCUUUCGGUUUUACUCUCUCCUUCCUCUUACCGGUGCGACUUUCUGCCAUGGCUUCGUCGGCUUCUUCUUCCUCUGUUAACCAGGUGCAAUCUUGCCCUCUACCUCCCCCUCUUUUUAGAUCCUAGGAAAAGAAUGUCCCUUCUUAUUCCUUCUUUGUUUCAGCCUCAACGUCUUAGCCCUGCGCUCGUGCGCGCCAUUGAGCUCAUUCACUCUGAGGACCCAUUGACGUCGGAGGAUAAGGCGCUGAUCCUGGCCCAUCGUGAGGAACUUCGAGAUCACGUCACUGCGGAGGCUCGUGUGGUCUUGGAUCUCAUGGAGAGUGACAGUAGCCGACGAUCUCCAACCAUCAGGAGCCUUCAUUGUGGCGGCCUUGAAGACGAUGUUGCCACGGCGGCCCGUACGAUUUUGGACUUUAUGGAGAGCAAUGGUAGCCGGCGACCUCCCACCGAUAGGAGCCAUCCGCUUCCUCAGCAAGUCGUUCUCGAAGACGCAGCGGCAGGAACUUCGCGCCCUCCCAUGGAUCGGAGUCAUUUUCUCCCUCGUCAAGUUGAAGCGGAGACUUCAAUGAAGGCAAUAGAAGAAGAAUACCUUCACGUCAUGAGCGAGUUGGAGCGGAACGGGAAGGCGCCCAAGAAGAAGAACAAUUAGUUUUUUGUAUUUUUUGUUCUAAGGGCGACUAAUGUUUUGUCGGCCAUGUAACCCGCCGUCCGUACCGAAUGAAUGCAAUCGGCCGAUCCGGUCGACUAUGUGUUUGAACCGAUUUGUAUUGGCUAUGCGUUUGAACCAAUUUGUAUCGGCUAAGUGUUUGAACCGAUUUGUACCGGUUAUGUGUGGUCGUGUUAUGGUCAAUUUCCUACGCUCCGACCCAUAUACUGGGGUAGUAUCUUUUUAAGUACCUUCCGUUCAGAGCUCUAGUAAAUUCCUCUCCUUCUAUUGUUUCCAAAAUGUAAGCAUUUCCUGGGGCGCAUCUGCCGAUUUUGUACGGCCCUUCCCAUGUAGGGGACCAUUUUCCGAAUUUAGGAUCCUUCGACCCAAUCGGCAAUACUAACUUCCAUACUAAGUCCCCAGGGGAGAAUUGUUUGGCUUUGACCUUUUUAUCGUACCACCUGGCUACCCUCUUUUUAUUUUCUUCAAUGCUUAUCAGAGCCCUCAAUCGUUGGCCAGCCAAAUCGUCAAGUUCCCUUUUCAUAAGUGACGAGUAAUCAUCGGCCGUUAACUGGUCCUGGAGCGAAAUACGCCUUGAUCCCGCCCUUGACUCCCAUGGCAGUACCGCAUCGUGACCGUACACCAAUUGGUAGGGAGAUAACUUGGUAGCCCCAUGACAAGCCAUCCGGUACGCCCAUAAGGCCUCUGUCAAACAUAGAUGCCACUUCUUCGGUUGUUCCUCGACUUUUCUUUUGAUCAAUUUGAUUAUCCCUUUAUUGGAGGAUUCCGCCUGACCAUUGGCUUGGGCGUAGUAUGGAGAAGAAUUUAACAAUUUGAUUCCCAUAUUGGUCGUAAAUUCCUCAAAUUUCCCUGAUGUGAACAUUGUUCCUUGAUCGGUUGUUAUAGUCUGAGGGAUACCGAAUCGGUAAACGAUGUGGUCCCUUACGAAGUCAGCCAUGAUAGCCGAUGUCACGGUUCUCAACGGGAUAGCCUCUACCCAUUUGGUAAAGUAAUCAGUAGCCACCAGAAUAAAUUUGUGCCCUUUGCUUGAUGGUGGGUAAAUUUGGCCAAUAAGGUCUAUUCCCCAUCCCCUGAACGGCCAUGGCUUAAUGAUGGGAUUCAUGGCCGAUGCGGGUGCACGCUGGACAUUUCCAAACUUUUGGCACUCCUGACAGCCCUUAUAAUAUUUGAAACAGUCUUUGAGGAUCGUUGGCCAGUAGUACCCAUUAUUCCUGAUCAUCCACUUCAUCUUAUGCGCCGAUUGGUGUGCUCCACAUACCCCCUCAUGGAUUUCUCCCAUCAGCGUCUUGGCCUCCUCUGUCCCAAGGCAUUUGAGAAGAACUCCGUCGAUCGUUCGGUAGAAUAGGUCAUCUUCGAGCAGCACGUAUUUGGUGGCAUGAAAACGUACUCGUCGCUCCACCUUUUUAGACGGAUCCUUCAGGUAGUCGGCAAUUUCUUUACGCCAGUCAUCGGCCGUGAGCUCUAGAGCCAUAGUGCCUAGAAUUAGCCGAUACCCAGACGCAUGCUGGGCAAGUUUGUUGGCGUCUUCGUUGCGGUCUCUUGGGAUGUGCUCGAUUACUGCCGAUCGGAAUUCUUUUAAAAGCUGUAAGCAAUCUUCGUAAUAAUUUCUUAAUACGUCAUCUUUGCAUUCGGACCUUCCGGUCAGUUGAUCCACAAUAAGCAUAGAAUCUCCGAAGACUUCAACGGAAUCGGCCUUGACUUCUCUCAAUAGUUGUAAGCCUUUUAAUACAGCUCGGUACUCCGCUUGAUUGUUAGUAGCGGCGGUUUCUAUCGGCAGAGAAAAAUCAUAGCUUGCCCCCCGAGGCGAUAUGAGAACGAUGCCGAUUCCUGAUCCGACCCCACAUGAUGACCCGUCAAAAUAUAAUGUCCAAGGUGCCAGCUCUACGAGGGCAAUCUCCGGUCUGCAGUGCUGGGCGACGAAAUCGGUCAUGACUUGACCCUUGACGGCUUUUGCCGAUUCAUACCGCAGGUCAAACUCUGAUAAAGCUAAGAUCCAUUUGCCGAUUCGACCUUUCAAUAUCGGCAGUGAUAGCAUGUAUUUUACUACGUCAUCUUUGCAUACGACUACACAUUCUGCCGACAGUAGAUAGUGCCUGAGUUUGGUGCAUGAGAAGUAAAGACAUAGGCAUAAACGCUCCACCGGAGGAUAUCUUGUUUCAGCAUCCAGAAGUCUUCUACUGACAUAAUAAAUUACCCGCUCCUUGCCUUCAAACUCCUGGACUAGAGCCGAUCCAAUAGCUUUUUCAUCGGCUGAUAAGUAUAGUUUAAACGGCUUACCAGUUUGAGGGGGAACCAACACUGGUGGUGAGACCAAGUAUUGCUUGAUAUCUUCCAAUGCUUUGCGCUGCUCUUCUCCCCAUAUAAAUUCCUGGUCUGGCUUUAGCUUCAGAAGUGGCGUGAACGCCUGAAUCCGUCCAGAUAGAUUAGAUAUAAAUCUUCUGAUGAAAUUCACCUUGCCGAUUAGAGACUGCAGUUCGGUUUUGUUCUGUGGGGCCACGACUUUGUUGAUGGCCGCUAUGGUCUUCCGAUUGAUCUCUAUGCCUCGUUCGUGUACCAUGAAUCCUAAGAACUGUCCGGCGGAUACGCCGAAAGCACAUUUGUUGGGAUUCAUCUUAAGACCAUGUUUUUUGGUACACUCUAGCACUUUUCGCAAAUCGGCCAGAUGUUCUUCGUGACCUUUAGACUUGACCACGACAUCAUCGAUGUAGAUUUCUACCAGAAGGCCAAUGAGUUUGUGAAAUAUGUAAUUCAUAGCUCUCUGAUAUGUAGCGCCAGCGUUCUUCAAGCCGAAAGUCAUCACCACCCACUCGAACAAACCAAGGUGGCCUGGACAUCUGAAGGCCAUUUUGGGUAUAUCCUCUUCGGCCAUAAGUAUUUGAUUGUAUCCGGCGUUUCCGUCCAUGAAGCUAAUGAUUUUAUGCCCCGCGGCCGCGUCGAUCAGUACAUCGGCCGUUGGCAUGGGGUAACCAUCCAUCGGUGUGGCCUGAUUAAGAUUCCUGAAAUCAACGCAAACGCGUAGCUUCCCAUUUUUCUUGUAUACUGGUACGAUGUUAGAAAUCCACUCGGCAUAACGACAUUGCCGAAUAAAUUUUGCUUCGAUUAGCCGAGUUAUUUCAGCUUUUAUGUCUGGUAGAAUUUUAGGAUUGCAACGCCGUGCGGGUUGUUGGUACGGCCGAUACCCUGGUUUUAUGGGUAGCCGAUGUUCAACAAUGGAUCGGUCUAAACCGGGCAUCUCGUGAUACUCCCAAGCAAAACAAUCCUUAAAUUCCUUUAAUAAAUUUGUCAAUUUACACUUGUACUCUGGAUCUAAAUUUGCACUAAUAUAAGUCGGCCUUGGUUUGGUACCAUCGCCUAAAUCUAUCAUUUCCAAUGAAUCGGCCGACGUGAACCCAUGCCCUAGCUUCCCAUCUUCUCAGGCGAACUGAUCCAUCUAUUCUGAAUCUUCGGAGCCGACUGCUCGGAUCGGCUGUAGGCCAAAAUCGGUGACCUUCAGGAAAUCGAUCUCCCAUACUCUACCUGAUAUGCACCUGACGGUUUCGCAACUCCACUGCUGCGUGUCGGCUGCCGCAAUGCUGUAUGCGGAGUCGGCUUUGACCACCUCGAUGUUAUCGCCGACCCAUUGUACGAGGCACUGAUGCAUUGUUGACGGGAUGCAGCAGUUUGCGUGUAUCCAGUCUCGGCCAAGUAGCAUAUUGUAGGAUCCCUUGCCAUUAAUAAUAAAGAAGGUGGUAGGAAGGGUCUUACUGCCGAUGGUGAGGUCGACGCAGAGAGCACCGCGAGCGUUUGAUACCUUGCCCUUGAAGUCCUUGAGCAUCAUGUCUGUCUUGGUCAAGUCGUCGUCGCUUUUCCCAAGUUUCCGGAGUACGGCGUACGGCAUGAUGUUGACUGCAGCUCCUCCGUCUACCAUCAAUCUAGUGAGGGGACGGCCAUCAACAUGCCCCUUAAGGAACAGCGCCUUCAUAUGUUGUCGUUCGUCAUCUUCGGGCUUUUCGAACAUGGCCAUCAUUGGCUCCAGGGCCAACUGCGCUGUCUGUUCUUCUAUCGCCGAUACAUCCUGUUGAUCGGCGGGAGUCAUGAAUUCCAUCGGCAAAAUGAAAACCAUGCCGAUCUCGGCCGCCGAUUCGUCCCCCGCCGACUCGUCGUUCCCUUUAUCAUUUCUUUUGGGGCGCCACACCCGAGGCCUUCCUUCCUUCUUGUCUGUCACGCUUUCUUCUUCUUGCUGUUCCAAUUGGCGGAGACGUUGGAUUCUUUGUUUUUGAGACUUGGUCAAUCCGUCGGGACACCACCUGGGGUUUAUUGGUCUUCCCCUUGACCUGGCGCGUUCCCACUCCGGUUCGCGUCCUAACGGGUUUUCAUCUGUCACCCGAGCAUCGGCCAUCUCUUUGAGCCGGCUGUGAACGCUGGCUUUGUUGUCCGACUGGUCAUGCCGAUCAGUCCUGCCCCUCUGCCUAUCAUGGCGUCUAUCUUCCGAUCGAUCAUAUCGGUCACUUCUGCCCCCCAGCCGAUCACGCACGGGAGGGCGCUGGUCAUCUUGGUUGCGCCAAUUCUUGCUGGUCGGUUCUGGCCUUCCAUCUCUGGAGCGAGACCCUUUGAACGGCCGAUUGCCACGAUAAGGACCGUUGCAUUCUGGGCAAGUAUCGGCUGAAGGUAGCCUGAGGUUGUGUUCCCAACAGUGAAUGAAGAACGGGCAUCUCAAGUGCUCCUCGUGCCGACGCAUUGCUUCUUCUCGGGACCUUGAGCGUUCAUGCUGACGUUGGUACUUCUGGAGCAGGAACUGGGAAGUAAUGCGUGGCCCUUCUGACUCACCAUCGUCGUCCUCUAUCCGCCGCUUCCCCUUGACAUCUUCAGGAGUAGCUUGAUUUCUGGGAUCGACGGCGCCACUCUUUUUGGCUAAUUCGGACGUCAGCACUUUUGUUUGGAGUGAAUUCUUCCCUGUAUCAACCAUGUUGGUAGGAAAGGGGUGUUGGUCAAUCUUCAUUGGCUUGGCCGAUUUUGCCGGCACUUCAAAUUUAAGUCUGCCUUGCUCAAUGGCCGACUGUAUCUGCUGCCUGAAGAUUUUGCACUCGUUGGUAUCAUGGGAUGUGGCAUUGUGCCACUUGCAAUACUUCAUCUUUUUUAGUUGUUCGGCAGAAGGUAUUGUAUGGUACGGCGAGAGUUUAAUCUACCCUUCCUGGAGGAGAAGGUCGAAGAUUUUAUCGGGCCUUAGUUGUGUCAAAACCGAACACUUCCGGAUCCUUUUUGCCGAAUGGGCAUGAUAUCGGCUUCUUCCCUUUGAUCCACUCCGCAAGUCCGACUUCAACAUCUUCCUCAUCCUCUAACUCUUCCAGGAACGCCACUUUCUUUUGGAAAUUCCUCCGCGGAUCAAAAGGACGUACCUCCUGUCCAAACAAUCGGUGAACAAUCUGGCUCAGACUUUCGAACUCUUGUGAAGCGUAUCUUUCUUUGAUGUGGGGCAGAAGGCCUUGAAAAGCUAUAUCGGCCAACUGUGCAUCGGUUAGAGCCAGGGAGUAGCACUUGUUUCUGAUUUCCCGAAACCUCUGUAUGUACGAGGAUAUCGGCUCAUCACUCCUUUGCCUGAGGCUGGUCAAAUCGGACAGCUUCAUCUCAUGCACCCCGGCAUAGAAGUAUUUGUGGAACUGUCUUUCUAAAUCGGCCCAUGUGAUAAUCGAGUUUGGCGGCAAUGUCGUGAACCAUUGAAAGGCUGAACCAGACAGAGAUGACGAGAACAACCGUACCCGUAGGGCGUCUUGCGUAGCUGCUUCUUCGCAUUGGAUGAUGAAUCUAUUCACGUGCUCUACGGUCGAAGUAUCAUCCAUCCCCGAAAAUUUAGUGAAGUCAGGAACUUUAUACCGAUGGGGGAACGGCAAUAGGUCAUAUGUAGAUGGGUAUGGUGUUCUGUAGGUAUAAGUUUGCACUUUUGGCUUCAAGCCGAAUUGUUCUUGCAUCACCUCCGCAAUACGUGCCGACCAAUCUGGCUGUUGCUGGUGAACUGUUGGCUGAGGUAUCGGCACGUGCUGGUAAAUCGGAGGCUGAAUAAACGGAGGCUGAUGAAAAGGUGGUAUCUGAGUGUAAGCCGGCUGUGUAGUAAAGGCUGGCUGUUUGAAUGAGCCACUCGUUUCAUCGUACAGCAUGAUCUCUGCUGUCUUGUUGAUCCCCGGAGCGACAGGCUAGUAUGGCGGCACGGUUGGCCGAAUAGCAGCCUGGAAGGAUGUCUGGAAUGGAGAGUUCACUUGACUGGCCGAUUGAUUCUGACCGGCCGUGACCGAAGGUGCCCCCCAGGGUGAUGGGUGAAUUGGGCUAACUGGAGGGAAUGGCGCAGAGGACAGUUGGAUGGAGCCAUAUCCCAUUGGAGUUGAUGACGAGGAAGCACCUGAACUCCCGACAGAAAACUGGAUCGGCUGCGAGGCCGAAUUCGAACAAUUCUGGUUUGGUGGAAUCGGCUGAAAAUAUGCCGGUCCCCUGUAUCCUUGAGGUAUGCCCCCGGCGAAGGAGUUGACAACAGCGUUGUGCACCAUGUUUGAAAGCACCGGGGACUGGUCAAUGAAAGCGUGAUGAAUAGACUGUUGAAUCAUAUCGGACAUUUUAUCCGAAUCUUCAGAAAUCGUGAUCUGGCGGGGAGCAGGGAAUGGAGUCUUCUUGAUGGUCUCCCCGCUUCUGGAGCGACUGAAAGACUUCAGGCAAGCUUUCUGGAACUGUGCCGUAUACUUGUCCAGCUCUUCCUUCUGGUCGUCCUUCAGAUCUGCUUCCGUCACCUCGAUGACGUUAUCUUCGGAGACUUCAGCAGCUUUCGACAUGAUGGCGGUUGUAUUGGUCCCACCGGGCGUGCCAAAAGUGUGUUGGCGCUAGAAAUCGGUCAACCGAAUCCCAGCGACCGACACACGACCCGGGAGAAUCUGCUUAGCUCCUGUUCGGGUGAAUGCCCUGGUGCAGUUCGCGCGGCGUGCCAGCCAAUCUGACCUGUUGAUUGGCAAGGAAGAAUACGUGUCAGGUCCAGAAAUCACGAUCGGCUAAGUUUCCGAUCGAGAGAGUUUAUCAGCGAAUCGACCGAUUUACUGUAGUAAUGAAAUCGGCUAUAAGACAGCCUGAUCUCUGUAGCCUUGUAGACAGGGAAUUACUAAAGUAAUCGAUACAAAGCUAUGAUAACAACACUAGGAACAGAUCUAAUCGGCAAUAGAUGAAUUUAAUAACAGAAUAUAGAAAGAGCCGAAACUACCGAUUCCUAGCUGGAUAACUAGUGAUAAAGACUAGAAAAACAGGUAAAACCUAUGGAUCUAGCAAAUAUCGAUAACUAGUGAAUAAAUCUAAACGAAACAACAGUGAUACGCCCGAAGUUAAAGCUUAGAUAUUACUCGAUAAACGGAACUUACAGAAUCGGCCGGAGAUCAAGAUGAUGCAGCCCUGCCAACCCGCACGAACUCGUGAGAAGAGAAAAGUAAUGGCGAAGUCGCCUGCUUGAAAGUAAGUACGAAGAAAAAGUAGCUUGUUGUAUUGAUUGGUUGAUGAUUACAGAUUUACAAAGGUAGCUAUUUAUAGCCCCAUACAGAUAUCUUCUUAACCGACUAGAAUUCUAUCCCUAAUUCAAACAGAAAACGAAUAUCUACAAGCACGAUUCGUGCUAGGUUAGUUACUCCACGCUUCGUGGGCUGAUUUCCAGCUCACCCUUCUAUUCCAAGCCCAUACAGGCCCAAUUAACCCAUCCUCCUAAUCGGCCGAUUCCUCAUCGGCAAAAGGCUACCGAUUGGGACUCUGGUAUAUUCGACCCGAAACGAGACAGAAGUCACCGGCCGAUCUCACACUGUAGCACCACUUGGCCGAUUCCCAACUGUGCUCCUCCGAUUCCCUCUCUUCUUGGCGCCGAUUCUACUAGUGACGAAAUCUGGCGUCAACAGUAUAUAUAACCAUUCUUGUAUUGUUUCACGCCACCGUUACUACUACGUCCUAAUUAACGAAUCUUGAACUGUUAGCCCUCCGGAUGGACACAAGGGCAGAAGACCCGAGGUCGUACAAAGGUGAUGGAAGGGAGGCUUGUCAUCACGGAAGUGACAGAAGAGGGCAGGCCGGUUGCUCCCGAGAAAGUAGCAAAGAAGUAUAUGAGUCAGAUCGGGGCAAUCGUCCGGGACAACGUGCCUAUCAGCAUCAGAGAAUGGAAGGGCAGAAGCACUAAUCCGUACGCCCUUCCAGAGACAGAAAAGAAUAUGCUGUGGGAAGACGUGAAGAGACAUUUCACAUUCCCCGAAGGAUAUAGUGAGAAGGAUGUCAAAGCGUGGACGCUUAAGAAGAUGGCUACUCAAUUCCAGACAUUCAAGAAGAUGCUGGAUACCCACUACAUCAAGAAGGGCCGAACUCCAGACUUCAACGCGUGGCCAAAGUUGAGGGACCACUGGGAUGCAUUUGUUGAAUAUAAGAGGAGUGAAGAAGGUGUGAAAAAGAUCACGACCAACACAGCAAAUGCUAGUCAGAAGGGCUACCACCAUCAUUUGGGGCGAGGUGGGUAUGGCUCAGCAAUUCCCAAGUGGAGGAAGAUGGAACAAGAUCUGAUCGAACGGGGAAUCGUACCUGCAACUAUUGAAUGGCCCGAACGAUCAAAAAAUUGGUACUACGCUCAUGGAGGCUCCCUAAGCCAAGAGGAUGGGAUGUUGAAUAUUAAUGACACAAUACGUGAGAAGGCCGAACAUCUCAUGAAGAACAUUGAAGAUUCUAAGGCUGGGAGGUUGAAGGUGGACCGAGAAAAUGAUGAGCUCACAUUGGCCCUCGGUAAUCCAGAGCACCCAGGACGUUGCCGAGGGUUCGGGGUGGUUCCGUGGAAGUUCACUUUCCGAGGCGACAGCACCUCGUACAGAAGCCGGAAGCGAAGAAAGGAACAGAUCGAGGAGAGCUGGCGGCAGAUGCUAGAACAAAGAAUGAUGGAUGAAAUCAAUCGGCGGGUGGCCCACGCAGUUGCGGAGUUGGCCCAAUCUGGAGCAUUGCCGAAUCCUAACACCGCCAGCCCUUCUCAACGCCUCUUGAGCAGUUGUGCUUCUACAGGGGUCCCCGAUGCGCAGACGCCCAGGUUACCCGUGGAGGAGCAACGGUUCCCCGUGGAUGCCAUCACACAACGGACCUCAUGUGAGCUGCAUGCACCGGUAGGCAACCUCACUAUUAAGGUAUACUUAUACAUAAUAUUUAUGCAAUCUUGUCAAUUGAUCCAGGCCUCGAGAUCGGAGUUCAACUUGUUUACUUCUGCUAUAUGUACAGGUAGCGUACGGGAGUGCGUUAGCAACCCUGGCGGGGCAGAGCAGUCAUGGCAUGGAAAUUCCAACAGGCUACGCCAGCGUCUGCGUAGAGCAAAUAGUUGAUCCCCAGUAUGAAGGUCUAGAGCUCGACUUCCCGGGAGGCGACGGGGAAAAGACAUUGGCAGAUGCGCUUCAUGGGAUAAUUCUAUGGAAGAAAUGCUACAUCAUUAUUCCCGGCACGGAGCCAUCUCCUCAGACCUCAAGACCGCUCCCCGUAGAUCCCCAGCAGCGACCUUCUCCUCAUACCUCGAGACCGUCAUCUCCUGCUCCAGGACCGUCCCUUCCAUCUAUAUCAAGGUCUCCAUCUCCACCACAUCCUAGUGCUGGGAGCGACGACGACAAUAACAACACCCCUCCCCGAUCACCGUCGCCGGCACCAAGAGCGGCCCCCUUGAAGGAACAUGCACCACCACUAAAGAAGUCACGAGCACCGCCUCCCAAGCAAAGACAGAGAAAGAAGAAAACAAAGGAGCCUGAAGUGACUCGUAAGGAACGCUUUGAGGCAAUGUAUCAUGCAGAACAGUGGGCAGAAAUCCAACGAGAGGCCAGUGAGUGGUUCAAGAAACAAGCCGAAGAAAAAAAGGCAAGGGAGAUGGAGCCACCGCCAGUAAGUCGGCGAGAUUUAAACUUUUUUAUCAGGAUGGAAGAAGGAGCCAAGAAAAGGAUACCACUCUUGUCAAACUAUGAACGGGCUCUAGUAAAGGCUGAUGAAAAGGAUAAAAGGAAAGGAAAGUCAUCUUCCAGCGGUCCAGUCCCCGACCUCAGCCAUUUAUCAAAAAAAGAUGCUCAACAGGUAAAAGCAAUGCCCUUGGAUCAACAAGCAAAUGUAUUGAAGUUCAUGGAAGAAACAGGUCUGGGACUUGAUGAAUGCAUAGGGCAAGUUGAGACGCCAACUGCACCGCCCCCUGAGCCGAAGUGGCCUUAUGAGCUAGGAAAACCUCUAGUAAAGCCUUCAUUGGUACGGAAGCUAUCAACAAAGAUGUACGCAUUCCAUCAAUGGUACAUGAUGGCAUCCGUCGACUCGAGGGAGAUGAUCGGCAUGAAGGUAAAACCGAUAGAUUUUCACGGUGAAGGGGAGAAAGUGAUGUGGCUAGACUUCAAGGAUAUAUACGAAGUGUACCAUCAUGAUGCCCUGGACGUCUCUCUGAUCAGCGCUUGGAUUCUGUAAGUGUCCGUUUAUCUCUACAUGUAAAUUUUGGCGUACAUCACCGUACUAACUUCAUCUUCCAUUUCAUGUAGGAUGCUAAUUCAGACAUGCCGCCGAGAGGCGUACCUACAUAUAGGCUUCAUGGAUCCAUCUGUAGUUAACCAACAACAGAUACAAUUAGCGCCGGAAAAAACCUUUGCGGAAAUAUACAAUUUCCUAGACAAACAAACAUUCAAGGAUUUCAUACUACUUUCAUACAACUUCAAGUAAGUGUGUGUAUACCGUCUACUUUCGAUGUCUUUUUCCUUAUCUCUACAUGUUAGUUAGCUCUAAUAUGCAUGAACAUUUUACGCACGCAGCUUCCACUGGAUCCUUAUUAUAAUUGAGCCUGAAAGAAGCCACGUCACUGUCUUCGAUUCGUUAAGGAAAGAUCCGGUGGACUACCAAGAAUUGCAAAACAUGCUAGGCUUGUAAUAAUUCUGGACCUUUAUCUCUAUGCAAAAAUUUAUUUCCUAAAUUUUAUCCCUGUUACACUAUAUCAUUCAUUAUUCUAAUCCGCAGCGCAUGGAAACAAUUCAUAAGGACACACAAAGGUCCAUUCAAAGAAAAACUUACAUGGAACACAGACUUCCCGGUACGUAUGCAGUCUGCACAUUUAUUACAUUGUAUAACACGAAUAUUUCAUAACUUAUUUUUUUCCGCACUGAAGUGCUUAAGACAGGAACCCGGGAAUAAUCUAUGUGGCUACUACAUCUGUGAGCACAUGCACAGUUUUAUGGGACCCAAGGGACCGAAGAUGACGCCGCACAACUUUAAAGUACGUAAAAUAAAACUAUUACUAGUUAAUUAUUUUCUAGCUCCUUAUAUGUAUUUGUUCAUGUAACAUUCACAAAUUUCCAAAUUAUAGAUGUUAAAUAUUCAACAAGGACUCUUGAAGGAAGAAAGAGUAGCGGCAAUAUGUGAAGGUCUCAUUGGAUUCAUAAUGGACGAGGUGGUAAAUCCAAAAGGAGAAUUUUAUUAUGAUGGACGACAAUUAGACACUCCGAUCAGCAACACCACGACGGGAAGAUUGUAGGAAGAUACUUUGAUUUAUUUGUAUAUAUAAUACGCGCUAAUUAUGAUCGAUUUGUACUAAGCUAGUUGAAUUGUGUAUAUGAAUUGUGUAUAAGGAUUGUGUAUAUAUAUAGUAAUUGUAUAAUUACAAAUCCCAUUCGUUUAAAUACUAGUUGAUUUCGUUCUAAAAAAAUCUCAACUACUAAAGGUUAACAAAUUAAAAGGGCCGCGGUACUACGUAUACGUGAUGCAUGCAUGAAAAAUUCAGGCGUCACGGCAGUGCCAUGCAAGCGUCAUUUAGUCCCGGUUGGAAUCCAGCCGGGACUAAAGGGUAACCCUUUAGUCCCGGUUGGUGACACCAACCGGGACUAAAGGGGGACCUUUACUCCCAGUUAAAAGACCCAGGACUAAAGACCCCCCCUUUUGUCCCGGUUGGUUUAUCCCGGAUGGAUUUUCGAGAGAUAUGUACCCUACCAACCGGAACUAAAGGCCAAUAUUGGUAAGCUUUCAAACAACCUUCAAGUGCUAGGGUUAGGACAAACAACUUGUCAGGGAUAAUUCCCACCAGCUUUGGGAACCUUACUGGCUUAACAAAACUUUAACUUAGUUACAACAAUCUCAAUGGUCCAAUCUUAGAGUGGGUUGGAAAUAUGAAGGAUCUUGGAGCUAUAGUUCUUGAUGCAAAUAACUUCACUGGUUUGAUUCCGUCUUCUAUGAGUAAUCUUACAAAAUUGACUCUGCUCUCUCUUACAAAAUGAAUUCGAAGGUCCAAUAUCACCAUGUCUGGGAAGUCUGCCACUUCUUACAUAUUUGAACCUUAGUUAUAACAAUCUGCAGGGUAACAUUCCUAAGGAAAUAUUCCAUCCCGAGUCCUCAAUAACCACAUGCGUGUUAUCCUACAAUAAGUUAGAAGGUCCAAUUCCUCCAGAGAUUUCUAAUCUUUGACGACUGACGGAACUAUAUCUUUCAUCCAAUAAGCUUAGUGGGGAAAUUCCUUCAACCCUAGGAAAUUGCAAAGAGUUACAGAUCAUUGAAAUAGAUUGUAACUAUCUCCAGGGGAGCAUUCCGUUGACUUUUAAUGGUCUAAAGAGCAUGACCUUGCUAAAUCUUUGACACAACAAUUUGUCAGGCUUCAUCCCAACAAAACUGGGUGACUUACCAGCUGCAACAAAUUCCUCACCCAGCUGGAUCUAUCUUACAAUAAUCUGCAAGGCGAAGUACCCACAAAUGGAGUAUUUGGAAACGCCAAAUUUUUCUCACUUCUUGGCAACUAGGGACUUUCUGGAGGAGUGCGGGAUCUACAUAUGUGCCCAUGUGCUACAGUCAUGGAGCAAAGAAACACGAUACUACUACCUGAUCAGGUUACUCAUCCCGGCAUUUGGAAUCAUGUCACCCAUAAUGUUGAUCUAUGCUGUAAUCCCACAGAAAAAGAAGUCAACAACAAGGUACUCAUUGUUAUUUUAUUUUGGUAAGAAAUUCCCUAUAGUUUCUUACAAGGAUCUAGCUCAAGCUACAGAAAACUUCUCAGAGUUCAACCUGAUUGGGAGGGGUAGCUAUGGUUCAGUGUACAGAGGAAAGUUAACUCAAGCUAAAAUGCAAGUGGCUAUCAAGGUUUUUGAUCUUGAGAUGAGAUUUGCAUACAAAAGCUUUGUAUCAGAAUAAGAGGUCGGGUGGGCCGCAGCCCACUCUAAGAUUUGGUCCAAAGAACCCAACGUAAGAAAUCGGUGCUCGAUAGCCUAAGAGGGGGAGGGGUGAAUUAGGCAACUUAAAACCUUAACAUGUGGCUUCAACUACAAAGCAUCAAAAAAUAGACUAAAUCAUGCUAUGCAGAUAUGCAUCUAUGGUUGAUCUAGUGAAAACUUCCCACCCACGAAGAGUUUUACAACUUAGAGCCAAUCCUAUCAAGAUAUUACUCUAGAAUAUAAGAAAUGCAAAAAUGUAUAAAAGUGGGUUAGGAACGAUGCAAACUCGGGACGACGAUUUAUUCCGUAGUAUCGAUAGGAAAAUGACACCUCUAGUCCACUAGAGCUCCACCGAGGAUACGCUCCUGGACACCAAAUCUCUCUCGAUCAAGGUCUUGGACCCACCACAAAGGCUCUCACCAAGCCAGAUGAGAAGCUUGCCAUGAAGGAAAGCUAACCACUCCCUCUCUUCCAUUCACCAUGGCGCCGUCUUUACUACAUAGCUUCUCUAUGAAGGAAGGGUUCUCCCCGUCCCCCGCACACGAUCGUUGUUAUUGAUCCACAUCAAGCUGGAGAGUCGAAGACUUGCCAGCGAGCCACCAAAGGCCCGAGGCGCCAGCACACCAAGCUUACAAUGGUGGUUCACUCCUUGAACCAAUCACAAGGUAGCAACACCUUGAACUCACUCUCUCUAGAUGUAUCCUAGCACUAAUCACUCUCGAAGCAUGUGCUAAACCUUGUAUUAUCACUUUUUGCACUUUUGGUGGGAUGGAUGUGUUCUUGAUGAGUCUUGAUCUUGAAUGAACUCUUGGACACUACAGCAAUUUCAAAUGGGCGAGUAGAGGGGGUAUAAAUAGCCCAUGGACCUCAAAGACCCAUUGAUCCAACGACUAGUAAAAUCUGUGAGCAUCGGAUGAUCCCAUGGUCACUUUAGAUAGGCAUCGGAUCAUCCGGUGCCCCUUGCUAAUGCAUAUAGCCGUUGGACCCCCUGCCCAAAAUUACUCCGAUGCUUCAUCCAAUGGGCAUCGGAAUAUCCGAUGCUGAGGACUUUUUCACCUAAAACCUUCUGGAUGAUUUCAAAGUAAAUAUGUUUAGUCCGAUGCCUCCAACUUCUGACCAUCGGAACAUCCGGUACUAUAGGAUUUUCUCCAUCUUCUUUGCGCAUUGUUCCGACGCUUGUAAAAAGAACCUCGUCAUAUCAUUCGGUGCUUACUGCAACUCAAGCUGAUUUCUCAAUUGUACUAAUUGCUUAGAUGGUUGCUCUAGUGGACCGUCGGAUCAUCCGGUGCUUCAUAUUUUUCUGAGUUGAAUAUCGCAAUUUGCACACAAAAAUACCAUCACUUGGAUUUCUAUCAUUUAAACACUUUGAAUACCAUAGAAUGAUCCAGAUAUUUAUGAAUUGGACACUUGAAUAUCAUGAUUUGGACCUUUUGCCAUGAUUUAGUUUGCAUUCUUAGGAUCCAGAAAAUCUAAGGUACAUGCUAGUCAAAGCAUUAGUUUGUCACUCAGUCAUUAAAAUCACAAAUUAUAACCUAAUAGGACCAUGUUCCUUGCAAUCCAGCUCCUAGAUUUUCCCAUCCGCUGAGACGCUGACAGAGCCAGCCACGAAGCCAGCACCCACGACUCAUGGUAAUCAUGGUAAUAAAAAGGAUCAAGUUAAUGAUUUGAUCUAGUGGCUUGUCAAAUUUUUUGCAUUGUUGGACCACUCUAACUUGAAAUCCUAGAAAUUCUCACUAAAAUCAGAAACAUCAAAUAUUAAUCGUGCAAACUCUAAUAAUUAUAAUCAUUGAUCUAUAAUAUUUUAUAAAAGGUUACCUACCAAACAUAUUCUAAAAUAAACCCUAACCCUAUAUCUAAAUUAUCGAGCUCUGCAAUUAUAAAAAACUAAUCUAAAGUAACCUCCAUAAUCUUCGUCCAAUUUAUUUAUACAUAUCAUUAUAAAGUAUAACUUCAAAUGUUACUCUAAAUUUGUAUCUAAGUUACCCACGUCUAAAUUUGUAUCUAAGUUACCCACGUAUGUUCUUAUUAAAAUAAUCUAAAGUAAACACCUAAAUCUUAAUCUAAUUAUCUUCAUGUGUGUCAUUCAAAAAAGUCCAAAAGUAAACAUUAUGAGUGUUAUUAUUAAUAUAGAAAUACUAAGUUAAGGUAUAUACGCAUGAUGAGUGUCACCAUGUAGACAAUCUGUACAUGUAUGUGGAGAUGUGAUACAAAAUGAAAAAAAAGUGUGAAUGUGGAUAAAAAAUAUAUAGAGUAAUUAAUAAUUAAAAAUAAUCAUAAGACAUAAGUAUACAUAUCAAACGCCUGUCUCGAUCGCUUGGCUUCGUGCCGAAACCAGCUAGCUAAACAGUAAACACCUUUGCCGUCGGGGCUGGCUCCACAAGGUGGCAGUUGUCAGUUGUGCUGUUCGAUCUCCAUCCCACGCUGGCAGGUAGGACACCCGUGAGGCGAUGAAUCGUGACGCGAGCUUCGACGGGCCGCUAGCUUCGACGUACGAGUACAGCGAGCAGUGGCUGGAAUUUUGCAAUUCCUUCGGUUGGGUUGGGUGGUUUUGUGCGGGAUCGGCAAUGGUGACAACUGGACGAGCUGUUUGUGUUGGCUUUGUGCAAACUGCUCUCAAGUACAUUACAUUCAUCUUCUAAUGAUCAAUUUACUGAGUUUGCUGUCGAAGAUGGGCUAACUACUUGGUGAUGCAAUCACAACGCAUGCAAAAGAUGUGUUUCAACUUGCACAGCCACCACCUUGCUGAUGGUGAUUUAGCUAAGUUUCAACUUGAAAUUUCAAACUUCCGAAAAAAAUGCAGCAAGAUCGUAUCUAUGACGCUUGACUCUUUGCAGAAUACUUACAGUUAUCUGGUCCUCAAUUGGAAUAAAUUUUGUUUGCAUAAAAAGUAAAGUGCCACAUUUUCACCUUCAUAGAACUAAUUGUCUCACUAGAUAUUUCUCCAAUUAAUAAUCAACAUUGUACGAGACCCCUACGAAGCACGGCAUUGUAUAGACUAUUCUUGUCGAGAUCGGAUACAUAAAAGUUGACUUGACGCGCUACCCGUUCAAAGAUAACCCAUGAACGAAUCAUGGCCACACGAUACAUUCUGGAAGCGCGAUCAUUACAAAGAUCCAAAUCGGAUUUGAAAACGAAAAUCCAGCGCCGGUAGACCAUUCCACGAGCUGAAUUUUAUCGUCAUCGAAACCGCACUAGACAUGUAGCACGCAUCAGCCCGGAAUAUCUCUGUCCAUUUCCUGCAGAAAAGUACCCUGCGAUUCGAGGCUGGACACGCCGCAACAAUCUUGUCCAGCUCAGACAGUGACGGCCGCACUGUUGAGAAGAUCGAAGCUGUGAAGUGGCGAUAACCGGCGAGUUUGACGGACUCGGGGUCUUCGCUCCAACGCCGUCAAGCUAAGAUAAGAUAUGAUGAUGAUGCAAGUGUGUGGAUUGUAAUACCGCUGUAAGACUGUUUUUAAACCCCUGGGGCCUGAGACAGUUGUGCAUCCAACUUAAGCACUAGUGGUCUCCGUUUCAGCCAUUCCUGAGACCAUCCAAACAGUUAGGUCAGGCAUAAGAGGACAUCAAACGCCUGCCUGGAUCGCUUGGCUCCAUGCCGAAACCAGCUAGCUAAACAGUAAACACCUUUGGCGUCGUCGAUCGGGGGCUCACCCCUGCACAAAUACGGCAGUGCUGUUCGAUCUCCAUCCCACGCUGGCCGGACGCCCGUGAGGCGAUGAGUCGUGUCGAAAGCUUCGUGGAUCGGGCCGCUAGCUCCAGUUUUUCAGACGAGUGGCACGCUCACGUGUGCACGUACGAGUACAGCGAGCAGCGGCUGGAAUUUUGCAAUUCCUUCGGUUGGGUUGGGUGGUUUUGUGCGGGAUCGGCAAUGGCGACAACUGGAUGAGAGCGGUUUAUGUUGGCUUUGUGGGAACUGCUCUCAAGUGCAUUACAUUCAUCUUCUAAAGUAGCUAACCCAUCUUUGUGCUGGCUAAUUUUCAAGUACUUCACAGCCAACCACCUUGCUGAUGGUGAUUUCGCAGAGUUUGAACUUGAAAUUUCAAACUUGGAAAAAAAUACACGAAGAUCAUAUAUAUGAUUGUUUCCAGAAUAUCAUGCAGUUAUCUCGUCCUCAAAUGAACCAUUUUUUACAAAAAAGGACUUUAUCCUACAAUUACUACCAACUUAAAAAAAGGACUUCAUGUUACUAUUAUUAAUUGGAGGGUGGACACUCUAGAAAAACAAAGAAAUCUUAGAAAUUCUCACAAAAAGUCAAAAUAUCUAGCCAUCAAUCAGUAUGCUCAAAUCAUCAUAGCCAUUGGAUCUAUUUAUGUUUUCUAAAAAAUUACCCAUGUAUGCCAUUAUGAAAAUAGCCUAAAGUAACCCCCUAAAUCCAUGUAUAAAUUACCCACCUCUUCCAUCAUAUAAAAUAAACUAAAUAACCCCCUAAGCUUCAUUUAAAUUACCCACUUAUACCAUUAUAAACAAUGUUUCAAAUAACCCCCUAAAUUUUCAACUAAAUUGCCCACCACUAAUACUUAAAAAAUAACUUAGAGUAACCCUUAAAUUUGCAUGUAUAUUACUCACAUAUGACAUUAUUAAAAAUAACAUGAGGUAACCCUACUUUUGAAUCCAAAUCACCUUAAUUAAAAAUAUAUACCAAAUAUAUGAUUCUAAAUCAUUUAUUUCUUACACUUUGGUAUAUGAUAUAAUAAUUAAGGUAACCCUACUUUCGAAUCCAAAUCACCUUAAUUGAAAUAUAUACCAAUAUAUGAUUCUAACUCAUUUAGUUUUUAUGCUAUUGAUAUAUGAUAUAAUAAUUAAGGUAUAUACAUGUGAUGUGUGUGACCAUUUAUGAAGAUAUAGAGGAAAUGAUGAGAAUAUAGAUUUAUAUGUUAAAUUUGCAACUAAAUUUCCCACCACUAAUAGUGAAAAAAUAACUUAAAAAUAAAUUAAAGUGACCCCUUAAAUUUGCAUCUAUAUUACCCACAUAUGUCAUUAUUAAAAAAUAACAUGAGGUAACCCUACUUUUGAAUCCAAAUCACCUUAAUUACAAAUAUAUACUAAUAUAUGAUUCUAAAUUAUUUAUUUUUUACACUAUUGAUAUAUGAUAUAAUAAUUAAGGUAUAUACGCAUGAUGUGUGUCACCAUUUAUAUAAAUAUAGAGGAAGUGAUGACAACUUAUGGUCGGUAUGUGUCAUCGGUACGCGGUUGAGUUAACAUUAUGGCUUAAACUUAUGAUCCAUAGAUAAAUUCAAGCACAUACCGACGAUGCAAAUUGAAAAGUUAAUAAUUAUAAAUGUGGAUGAAAUAUUAUAGAGUAAUUACUAACUAAAAUCUAUCACAAUUAGAUGAAGAUAAUAAGUAUAUAUCUAUAUAAGCAUUGUGUUAGGAUAUUUAACAAAUGAGAGGUAGCUUAAGGUAAUAGUUUCGUAACAAUGGGGCUACAUUUUUUCCAUUGGAGAUUCCGCAUUAGUUCUCACGAGACACGCUAGGAAAAAAUCCUAGAAAUUCUCACUAAAAUCAAAAACAUCAAACAUCAAUCGUGUAAACUCUAAUAAUCAUAGUCAUUGGUCUAUAAUAUUUUAUAAAAGGUUACCUACCAAACAUAUUCUAAAAUAAACUCUAAUCCUAUAUCUAAAUUAUCGAGCUCUGUAAUUAUUAAAAACUAAUCUUAAGUAACCCCAUAAUCUUCAUCCAAUUUACUUAUGCAUAUCAUGAUAAAGUAUAACUUAAAAUGUUACUCUAAAUUUGUAUCUAAGUUACCCACGUAUGUUCUUAUUAAAAUAACCUAAAGUAAAUACCUAAAUCUUAAUCUAAUUAUCUUCAUGUGCAUCAUUCAAAAAAGUCCAAAAGUAAACAUGAUGAGUGUCAUUGUUAAUAUAGAAAUAUUAAGUUAAGGUAUAUACGCACGAUGAGUGUCACCAUGUAGACAAUCUUUACAUGUAUGUGGAGAUGCGAUACAAAAUGAACAAAAAAGUGUGAAUGUAGAUAAAAAGUGUAUAGAGUAAUUAAUAAUUAAAAAUAAUGAUAAGACAAAGAUAAGUAUACAUGUAUAUAAGAGUUAUGUUGAAAUAUUGAAAAAACUAAGAGAGUAGUAGGUAAACAAUUUCGAUUAUUAAUUAGGAGCUCAAUUUUUAAAUAAUUUUCAAAUAUGAUAAUUUUUUUAAAAUAUUAUCCCGUGCAGGAGCACGGGUUGAUGGACUAGGACAACUAAGGCUGAUCACUAGAUAUUUCUCCAAUUGAAACGGUGUUCAACAUCUGCAAAACCCUGCAAAGCACGGCAUUGUACAGACUAUUUUUAUCCAGAUUGGAUACAAAUUGACUUGACCAGCUCGCUACCCUAUCAAAGAUAACCUAUGAACGAAUCAUGCACACACACAUACAUUCUGGAAGCGCCAUCAUCACAAAGGUCCAAAUCGGAUCUGGAAUCGAAAAUCCAGCACCGUAGACCAUUCCUCGAGCUGAAUUUUAUCAUCAUCGAAACCACACGAGACGUCGCACAUCAGCCUGGAAUAUCUCUGUCCGGUUCUGAUGAAAAGUACUUUGGGAUUCGAGGCUGGACACGCCGCUACAAUCUUUGUCCAGCUCAGACGGCGACGCCGGCGCUGGGAGAGAAGAUGGAAACUGAAAAGUGGCAGUAACUGGCGAGUUUGACGGACUCAGGGUCUUCGCCCAACGGCGGUCAAGCUGAGAUAAGGUGUCUCAAUACGAGUGUGUGGAUGAUAACGGUGACGUAAAACUGCUUUUUAAACCCCUGGGGCCUCAGCCAGUUGAGCAUCCAGCUCAUAAUUCCAGUUCAAACACCCACUAGCAAGCAAAUAGAAGCAGAUUAGAAAGGCUGACGCACAGCAGAGGUACCAUACUCUCUCCCUCCCUUCCCUCCCUCCUGAUGGUUUUAACUAUCCUCUUUAUGCUGUUACCUUUUUAAGAUGGUUUUAGCUAGUUACUUGCUGCAACUCUGUAUGGUUUCUCAAAACUAGUACCCCUCCGUAGGUCAUUUUAAGUUUUUUUAUUUUUAUAGAUAUUAUCUAUGAAUUAUCUAUGAACAUAAAAAAUCAAAACCAUCUAUAAUUUGAAACGAAGGGAGUACUUCUUAGAAUUAGCUCUGGUUACAGCAUGAGCUUACGCUGCGUAAUUCAUCUAGUAGUACUUUAUACGCUGCCAAGUUUAUGCUUUAAUUUUGCAGGUGACAAUUAAUAUGCUCCUCAUGCGUCACUCGAUGUUGCUGGCGAAACUCGCCGUGCUUAUCGUAUUGCCUUUUUUGCUGCUGUGUUAUGGAGUUGGCAACGUUUACUGCUCGACAAUUCAUGAGAAUAGAGAAGAUCUGCGCUCAUUGCUCGACUUUAAGAAGCGGAUCAGUUCUGAUCCAAAUGGAGCCUUGAUGAGCAAUUGGACAACCAACACCCAUUUCUGCCAGUGGAAUGGUGUUAACUGCACUUCCACACCACCAUAUCGCGUCAGAGAGCUCAUCCUCACCGGGCUAAACUUGGGUGGCGAAAUAUCCUCCUCUCUUGGAAAUCUGACCUCCCUUAAUUAUCUUGAUCUAUCCAAUAAUAGCUUUCAUGGUCCCAUACCUCUUCUUAACAAACUCCAAAACCUAGAGUACCUUUUAUUAGGAAGCAACCUUUUGCAAGGUGUUAUUCCCGACGCACUUACAAAUUGUUCUAAUUUAGUUACACUAGAUCUCUCUGGAAACAACCUCAACGGUCUCAUUCCUCCUAGAAUAAGCUUUCUUACCAAACUAGCAUAUAUCAAACUUUACAGUAAUCAUGUCACUGGGGAGAUACCAGCAUCCCUCAGAAACAUCACAAAUUUACAACUAGUCCAUUUUUCAAAAAAUCAGCUCAAUGGUAGAAUUCCCGACGAGGUUAUGCAAAUGCCAAACUUAAUGGAGUUGCACCUAAACCAAAAUAACCUAUCAGGUAGUAUUCCUGAGGUUUGGCAAAUGCCAAAUAUAUUGGUAUUAGACCUAAGCGUAAAUAACCUUUCAGGUCGAAUCCCACGAGCUCUAUCUAAUGUAUCUUCUCUUCAGGGAUUGUCCUUGGCAUCAAAUAUGCUAGGCAGUACAUUACCAUCUAACAUUGGAGAUGCUCUACCGAAUCUCACGAUUCUAUA
rnacentral:lncRNA from 1 species